GGUUAGUUCGGGAAAAUCAGAAAUCAUCAGAACUUUAAGUGCUCCCAGUGAACGCAGAAACUGGCCCUUCAAACAAGUAAGCCUUGACAUACUCACAAGUUUCAAUGUGAUUAGGGAGGAGUUAUAAAAUAUGCAUUUAGGUGUCACCUCAUCACAUUCUUCUAAUUUCAGUUCACUAUGCACUGGAAGCUUUUCGUCUGAAUCUACCAAAAUUGGGCAUUUUGCAAUCGUAAUCUUUACACAGGAAGGAAGACAGCUAGGGAACUUGCCAUGCAACUUGGGACAAUUCCAUAAAGUAAGCUCAGAAAGACUAGUAAAUUCUUCUUCAGCUUCUCCAUCAACUCCAGCUGCGGACCAAGAUUUCCAUUCCUGCAUAUCCUCAAAUGUCAAAGUCUUCAGAGAUGGAAAAGGCUUGACUGAAGAACCAUAUCCAUAAAACUCAGGACCAACAGUCUCCACAGCAUCCAGGCCUUGUAUGCACAGAUCCCUGAGUAAAGGUAGCCUCCCAAGUGGUGGCAAUACAGUGCAUUUCCUGCAACAAGACAGUUUUAAGUGCACUAUUUCAGAAAAUGAUGGAUGUCCUACCCAUGAAGGAAAUUCUGUCCCGCCAUAGAAUGAAAUCUUUAGUUCUUUAAGGUUUGUAUGAGGUUGUAGUGAGUCGAGAACAAGCAGUUGAUGUUGUGGUUUUACUGAGUCGAGAACAAGCAGUUGAUGUUGUCGGCCUUUAUCUUUAAUGUCACUCUUAAACCAUUCCAAUUCUAACUCAUCAAGGUUGUGCUUGCCCCUUAAAUUAGCAUGAACUGCAUGUCGAGCAUCUAUCACAUUAUGCAAUGCCAUUAUGGAAAGUCGGCCUUCAAGAUUCUCAACCCUCUUAAUUCUCAAUUCCACAGCCCUCCUUUUUUUCCUACGAUGAACUGUGACAAUUUCUGAAGACCUGUCAAAUUACCCAUCCACGGAGGCAUCUCAAGUAAGUUAUCAGUAUCAGUAAUAUCCAGAUGACAAAGAUUGAUAAGAUUCCCAGUCCCUUGUGGCAGCUUAUUAAGCUUCCUGCAUCCAUAUAAUUUGAGAGUCUGCAAGUUUAUGAGAGUGCUCACAGAUUCAGGCAACCGCUUAAUCUUAGUUUGAGAGAAAUUAAGGUAACGUAACUGCUUCAAAUCACCAAUUGAAUUUGGUAGCUCUGUAAUGCAAUAACCACUCAAUGAAAGAACUCUUAAGCGUCUCAAUUUGAACAGUGCCUCAUGUAAUACAUUUUACUCAAGUAGCAAUAUGCGGCCCAGGUGAAGAGUAAAGUCGCAAUGCAAUGAAAGUUCGCAGACGCUUCAGUUUACCCAGGUCUUUGAACCUCUGCAGCACCUCGUAUGUACGACGAGUGAAUGACAUAUGGCGAGUCUUUUCAGGAUCUGGAAAGACCUUGUUAUUUUCCAGCUUAUCAUUUGAAUUGACACACGUUUCUCCAGCAAUAGAUUGAGCCAGAUCACUGAUGAGAUGAUGCAUCAGAUAACGAUGUUCAUUGCUGCUUGAUGACUGGAAAAACGAUCUUGAUAAUAAUUCAUUAAAACAAGAAUAGAAGUCUUCCAUCCGCUUCUUUCCUCCUGCAUCUGGCAGAAAUCCUUGGGCCAUCCAUAACAACACUAAUUCAUCCUUAUAGAAUUCAUAGUCUUUUGGAAGUAUAGAACAGAAAACAAACAAUUGCUUCAAGUGUGAAGGAAGAUGAUGGUAGCUCAACCUCAAGGCUGGAACUAUGCCGCCCUUGUGUUCUGAUAUAUCCCACAUUUUGCUAUUAAGUACACUUUCCCAUUCAUCAACAUAAGGUUUAGUGCGCAAGAGGCCCCCCAGUGUUUUAACAGCCAGUGGCAGUCCCCGCACCUUUGAACUAUUUUCUGGCCGAUCUCCUGCAGGUCUGGCAGAUCACUGAAAUUGGACCUUCCCAGUGCAUGCUUUGCAAACAAAGACAGGCUAUCCUCAAAUGACAGUUCUUUCAAAAGGUAACAUGGAAAAGCACUCAUCAUUAAUGCAACAUCUUGAUUUCGAGUUGUGAGGAUGAUUCUACUCCCAGGGGAUGUCACUUGGAAAGGACGGCGAAGGACAGUCCAGUCAUCAUAGUUCUCAUUCCAAACAUCAUCUAAACAACAAGAAAACUUCUUCCCGCCAAUUUCUCUCUCAGCCUAAGUUGAAGCAGAUUCAAAUCCUUCGCAUCGUAACUCCCCGAAACUGCCUCAAGAAAUAGUUCUCGUAACCCUAACAACAUCAAAAUCCUCAGAAACACAACACCAACUUUGAAAUCGAAAAACUUAUCUACUUUCUCAUCAUUGUGACAAGCUGAGCAAGAGUGGUCUUACCCACCCCACCCAUCCCUACAAUAGGAAUCACACCAUUCCCGUACUCAUCACACCCUUAUCACUAAAAAGCAACUUCAAGAUUUCCUCUGUAUCAUUAUCCCUACCAGAAACAUAAGAAAGAUCCACUAAAGAAGUACUGGGCAAUCUUUUCCUCUUCAACACCCCUCCACUGCCAUUCUCUCUAAGCUCCAGAUUAUUCUUCUCUUGAGCAGUUUCUUGCAAUCUAGCAGUAAUUCUCUUAAAUCUUGGAGUCUAUUUUGUAGUUAGAGCAAAUUACCAGGAUAAAAAGAGGUUAAGAACCGGGUAUGGCGCUCUUCGCCUUACUUGAGUUAGCUCGUUCUUCCUCUUUAAGUCAGUGAGAACCCCGUCGAGCAAAUCUUCAAUAUCAUAGGCCAAUUCACGGAUCUGAUCAAGCCAGAGUUUGACAGCAUGGCUUUCAUCUGCUUCUCCUCUGCGUCAGCAAGAACAGCAUGGUCAUAUGCAAAUUUGCCUCCAGUUUCUUGAUAUCAGAGUGGAUUUUUCCUCUGGCGAGCGAGCUUGAAAGAGGCUAAUUGGUUGAUUAUAUGCCUGAUCGUAGCUGAAAGGAUGCGUCUCCGAUAACAAGAGCCAUAAUUAAAUUGCUGCCUCUGGGUCGCUUGCAAAUGGCUAUCGCUUAGAAAUUAAAGCAGAUCGAAGGAAAGAAAGAACCAAAGAAUGGGGUUUGUAUGUAAACUGAAGAGUAAGAGUGGUUUGUAUUCUGGCGAGCUACAAGGGUUUGUGUGUUAACUGGAAAGUAAAGGUGGUCGUUUUGGUGAGAAUCGGAAGAGCGGUUCAGCAGGAAUGCCGAGACCGAUCUCGUAUGCCGUCUUCUGCUUGCUGAGUCGGAGACACGCAGGGAUGAGAUGGCGGCCGCACUGACCCUAUAGUGAGUCGUAUUAAUUUCAAAUCAUACCAACAUGGUCAAAUAAAACGAAAGGCUCAGUCGAAAGACUGGGCCUUUCGUUUUAAUCUGAUCGGCACGUAAGAGGUUCCAACUUUCACCAUAAUGAAAUAAGAUCACUACCGGGCGUAUUUUUUGAGUUAUCGAGAUUUUCAGGAGCUAAGGAAGCUAAAAUGGAGAAAAAAAUCACUGGAUAUACCACCGUUGAUAUAUCCCAAUGGCAUCGUAAAGAACAUUUUGAGGCAUUUCAGUCAGUUGCUCAAUGCACCUAUAACCAGACCGUUCAGCUGGAUAUUACGGCCUUUUUAAAGACCGUAAAGAAAAAUAAGCACAAGUUUUAUCCGGCCUUUAUUCACAUUCUUGCCCGCCUGAUGAAUGCUCAUCCGGAAUUUCGUAUGGCAAUGAAAGACGGUGAGCUGGUGAUAUGGGAUAGUGUUCACCCUUGUUACACCGUUUUCCAUGAGCAAACUGAAACGUUUUCAUCGCUCUGGAGUGAAUACCACGACGAUUUCCGGCAGUUUCUACACAUAUAUUCGCAAGAUGUGGCGUGUUACGGUGAAAACCUGGCCUAUUUCCCUAAAGGGUUUAUUGAGAAUAUGUUUUUCGUCUCAGCCAAUCCCUGGGUGAGUUUCACCAGUUUUGAUUUAAACGUGGCCAAUAUGGACAACUUCUUCGCCCCCGUUUUCACCAUGGGCAAAUAUUAUACGCAAGGCGACAAGGUGCUGAUGCCGCUGGCGAUUCAGGUUCAUCAUGCCGUUUGUGAUGGCUUCCAUGUCGGCAGAAUGCUUAAUGAAUUACAACAAUACUGCGAUGAGUGGCAGGGCGGGGCGUAACCUACGUGACAGAAGUCAAAAGCCUCCGGUCGGAGGCUUUUGACUUUCUGGAUCAUCGGCCGCAUCGAAUAUAACUUCGUAUAAUGUAUGCUAUACGAAGUUAUUAGCGAUGAGCUCGGACUUCCAUUGUUCAUUCCACGGACAAAAACAGAGAAAGGAAACGACAGAGGCCAAAAAGCUCGCUUUUAGCACCUGUCGUUUCCUUUCUUUUCAGAGGGUAUUUUAAAUAAAAACAUUAAGUUAUGACGAAGAAGAACGGAAACGCCUUAAACCGGAAAAUUUUCAUAAAUAGCGAAAACCCGCGAGGUCGCCGCCCCGUAACCUGUCGGAUCACCGGAAAGGACCCGUAAAGUGAUAAUGAUUAUCAUCUACAUAUCACAACGCGCGUGGAGGCCAUCAAACCACGUCAAAUAAUCAAUUAUGACGCAGGUAUCGUAUUAAUUGAUCUGCAUCAACUUAACGUAAAAGCAACUUCAGACAAUACAAAUCAGCGACACUGAAUACGGGGCAACCUCAUGUCCGAGCUCGCGAGCUCGUCGACAGCGACACACUUGCAUCGGAUGCAGCCCGGUUAACGUGCCGGCACGGCCUGGGUAACCAGGUAUUUUGUCCACAUAACCGUGCGCAAAAUGUUGUGGAUAAGCAGGACACAGCAGCAAUCCACAGCAGGCAUACAACCGCACACCGAGGUUACUCCGUUCUACAGGUUACGACGACCAUGUCAAUACUUGCCCUUGACAGGCAUUGAUGGAAUCGUAGUCUCACGCUGAUAGUCUGAUCGACAAUACAAGUGGGACCGUGGUCCCAGACCGAUAAUCAGACCGACAACACGAGUGGGAUCGUGGUCCCAGACUAAUAAUCAGACCGACGAUACGAGUGGGACCGUGGUCCCAGACUAAUAAUCAGACCGACGAUACGAGUGGGACCGUGGUUCCAGACUAAUAAUCAGACCGACGAUACGAGUGGGACCGUGGUCCCAGACUAAUAAUCAGACCGACGAUACGAGUGGGACCAUGGUCCCAGACUAAUAAUCAGACCGACGAUACGAGUGGGACCGUGGUCCCAGUCUGAUUAUCAGACCGACGAUACGAGUGGGACCGUGGUCCCAGACUAAUAAUCAGACCGACGAUACGAGUGGGACCGUGGUCCCAGACUAAUAAUCAGACCGACGAUACGAGUGGGACCGUGGUCCCAGUCUGAUUAUCAGACCGACGAUACAAGUGGAACAGUGGGCCCAGAGAGAAUAUUCAGGCCAGUUAUGCUUUCUGGCCUGUAACAAAGGACAUUAAGUAAAGACAGAUAAACGUAGACUAAAACGUGGUCGCAUCAGGGUGCUGGCUUUUCAAGUUCCUUAAGAAUGGCCUCAAUUUUCUCUAUACACUCAGUUGGAACACGAGACCUGUCCAGGUUAAGCACCAUUUUAUCGCCCUUAUACAAUACUGUCGCUCCAGGAGCAAACUGAUGUCGUGAGCUUAAACUUGUUCUUGAUGCAGAUGACGUUUUAAGCACAGAAGUUAAAAGAGUGAUAACUUCUUCAGCUUCAAAUAUCACCCCAGCUUUUUUCUGCUCAUGAAGGUUAGAUGCCUGCUGCUUAAGUAAUUCCUCUUUAUCUGUAAAGGCUUUUUGAAGUGCAUCACCUGACCGGGCAGAUAGUUCACCGGGGUGAGAAAAAAGAGCAACAACUGAUUUAGGCAAUUUGGCGGUGUUGAUACAGCGGGUAAUAAUCUUACGUGAAAUAUUUUCCGCAUCAGCCAGCGCAGAAAUAUUUCCAGCAAAUUCAUUCUGCAAUCGGCUUGCAUAACGCUGACCACGUUCAUAAGCACUUGUUGGGCGAUAAUCGUUACCCAAUCUGGAUAAUGCAGCCAUCUGCUCAUCAUCCAGCUCGCCAACCAGAACACGAUAAUCACUUUCGGUAAGUGCAGCAGCUUUACGACGGCGACUCCCAUCGGCAAUUUCUAUGACACCAGAUACUCUUCGACCGAACGCCGGUGUCUGUUGACCAGUCAGUAGAAAAGAAGGGAUGAGAUCAUCCAGUGCGUCCUCAGUAAGCAGCUCUUGGUCACGUUCAUUACCUGACCAUACCCGAGAGGUCUUCUCAACACUAUCACCCCGGAGCACUUCAAGAGUAAACUUCACAUCCCGACCACAUACAGGCAAAGUAAUGGCAUUACCGCGAGCCAUUACUCCUACGCGCGCAAUUAACGAAUCCACCAUCGGGGCAGCUGGUGUCGAUAACGAAGUAUCUUCAACCGGUUGAGUAUUGAGCGUAUGUUUUGGAAUAACAGGCGCACGCUUCAUUAUCUAAUCUCCCAGCGUGGUUUAAUCAGACGAUCGAAAAUUUCAUUGCAGACAGGUUCCCAAAUAGAAAGAGCAUUUCUCCAGGCACCAGUUGAAGAGCGUUGAUCAAUGGCCUGUUCAAAAACAGUUCUCAUCCGGAUCUGACCUUUACCAACUUCAUCCGUUUCACGCACAACAUUUUUUAGAACCAUGCUUCCCCAGGCAUCCCGAAUUUGCUCCUCCAUCCACGGGGACUGAGAGCCAUUACUAUUGCUGUAUUUGGUAAGCAAAAUACGAACAUCAGGCUCGAACCCUUUAAGAUCAACGUUCUUGAGCAGAUCACGAAGCAUAUCGAAAAACUGCAGUGCGGAGGUGUAGUCAAACAACUCAGCAGGCGUGGGAACAAUCAGCACAUCAGCAGCACAUACGACAUUAAUCGUGCCGAUACCCAGGUUAGGCGCGCUGUCAAUAACUAUGACAUCAUAGUCAUGAGCAACAGUUUCAAUGGCCAGUCGGAGCAUCAGGUGUGGAUCGGUGGGCAGUUUACCUUCAUCAAAUUUGCCCAUUAACUCAGUUUCAAUACGGUGCAGAGCCAGACAGGAAGGAAUAAUGUCAAGCCCCGGCCAGCAAGUGGGCUUUAUUGCAUAAGUGACAUCGUCCUUUUCCCCAAGAUAGAAAGGCAGGAGAGUGUCUUCUGCAUGAAUAUGAAGAUCUGGAACCCAUCCGUGAUACAUUGAGGCUGUUCCCUGGGGGUCGUUACCUUCCACGAGCAAAACACGUAGCCCCUUCAGAGCCAAAUCCUGAGCAAGAUGAACAGAAACAGAGGUUUUGUAAACGCCUCCUUUAUGGGCAGCAACCCCGAUCACCGGUGGAAAUACGUCUUCAGCACGUCGCAAUCGCGUUCCAAACACAUCACGCAUAUGAUUAAUUUGUUCAAUUGUAUAACCAACACGUUGCUCAACCCGUCCUCGAAUUUCCAUAUCCGGGUGCGGUAGUCGCCCUGCUUUCUCGGCAUCUCUGAUAGCCUGAGAAGAAACCCCAACUAAAUCCGCUGCUUCACCUAUUCUCCAGCGCCGGGUUAUUUUCCUCGCUUCCGGGCUGUCAUCAUUAAACUGUGCAAUGGCGAUAGCCUUCGUCAUUUCAUGACCAGCGUUUAUGCACUGGUUAAGUGUUUCCAUGAGUUUCAUUCUGAACAUCCUUUAAUCAUUGCUUUGCGUUUUUUUAUUAAAUCUUGCAAUUUACUGCAAAGCAACAACAAAAUCGCAAAGUCAUCAAAAAACCGCAAAGUUGUUUAAAAUAAGAGCAACACUACAAAAGGAGAUAAGAAGAGCACAUACCUCAGUCACUUAUUAUCACUUGCGCUCGCCGCAGCCGUGUAACCGAGCAUAGCGAGCGAACUGGCGAGGAAGCAAAGAAGAACUGUUCUGUCAGAUAGCUCUUACGCUCAGCGCAAGAAGAAAUAUCCACCGUGGGAAAAACUCCAGGUAGAGGAACACACGCGGAUAGCCAAUUCAGAGUAAUAAACUGUGAUAAUCAACCCUCAUCAAUGAUGACGAACUAACCCCCGAUAUCAGGUCACAUGACGAAGGGAAAGAGAAGGAAAUCAACUGUGACAAACUGCCCUCAAAUUUGGCUUCCUUAAAAAUUACAGUUCAAAAAGUAUGAGAAAAUCCAUGCAGGCUGAAGGAAACAGCAAAACUGUGACAAAUUACCCUCAGUAGGUCAGAACAAAUGUGACGAACCACCCUCAAAUCUGUGACAGAUAACCCUCAGACUAUCCUGUCGUCAUGGAAGUGAUAUCGCGGAAGGAAAAUACGAUAUGAGUCGUCUGGCGGCCUUUCUUUUUCUCAAUGUAUGAGAGGCGCAUUGGAGUUCUGCUGUUGAUCUCAUUAACACAGACCUGCAGGAAGCGGCGGCGGAAGUCAGGCAUACGCUGGUAACUUUGAGGCAGCUGGUAACGCUCUAUGAUCCAGUCGAUUUUCAGAGAGACGAUGCCUGAGCCAUCCGGCUUACGAUACUGACACAGGGAUUCGUAUAAACGCAUGGCAUACGGAUUGGUGAUUUCUUUUGUUUCACUAAGCCGAAACUGCGUAAACCGGUUCUGUAACCCGAUAAAGAAGGGAAUGAGAUAUGGGUUGAUAUGAACACUGUAAAGCCCUCUGGAUGGACUGUGCGCACGUUUGAUAAACCAAGGAAAAGAUUCAUAGCCUUUUUCAUCGCCGGCAUCCUCUUCAGGGCGAUAAAAAACCACUUCCUUCCCCGCGAAACUCUUCAAUGCCUGCCGUAUAUCCUUACUGGCUUCCGCAGAGGUCAAUCCGAAUAUUUCAGCAUAUUUAGCAACAUGGAUCUCGCAGAUACCGUCAUGUUCCUGUAGGGUGCCAUCAGAUUUUCUGAUCUGGUCAACGAACAGAUACAGCAUACGUUUUUGAUCCCGGGAGAGACUAUAUGCCGCCUCAGUGAGGUCGUUUGACUGGACGAUUCGCGGGCUAUUUUUACGUUUCUUGUGAUUGAUAACCGCUGUUUCCGCCAUGACAGAUCCAUGUGAAGUGUGACAAGUUUUUAGAUUGUCACACUAAAUAAAAAAGAGUCAAUAAGCAGGGAUAACUUUGUGAAAAAACAGCUUCUUCUGAGGGCAAUUUGUCACAGGGUUAAGGGCAAUUUGUCACAGACAGGACUGUCAUUUGAGGGUGAUUUGUCACACUGAAAGGGCAAUUUGUCACAACACCUUCUAUAGAACCAGCAUGGAUAAAGGCCUACAAGGCGCUCUAAAAAAGAAGAUCUAAAAACUAUAAAAAAAAUAAUUAUAAAAAUAUCCCCGUGGAUAAGUGGAUAACCCCAAGGGAAGUUUUUUCAGGCAUCGUGUGUAAGCAGAAUAUAUAAGUGCUGUUCCCUGGUGCUUCCUCGCUCACUCGACCGGGAGGGUUCGAGAAGGGGGGGCACCCCCCUUCGGCGUGCGCGGUCACGCGCACAGGGCGCAGCCCUGGUUAAAAACAAGGUUUAUAAAUAUUGGUUUAAAAGCAGGUUAAAAGACAGGUUAGCGGUGGCCGAAAAACGGGCGGAAACCCUUGCAAAUGCUGGAUUUUCUGCCUGUGGACAGCCCCUCAAAUGUCAAUAGGUGCGCCCCUCAUCUGUCAGCACUCUGCCCCUCAAGUGUCAAGGAUCGCGCCCCUCAUCUGUCAGUAGUCGCGCCCCUCAAGUGUCAAUACCGCAGGGCACUUAUCCCCAGGCUUGUCCACAUCAUCUGUGGGAAACUCGCGUAAAAUCAGGCGUUUUCGCCGAUUUGCGAGGCUGGCCAGCUCCACGUCGCCGGCCGAAAUCGAGCCUGCCCCUCAUCUGUCAACGCCGCGCCGGGUGAGUCGGCCCCUCAAGUGUCAACGUCCGCCCCUCAUCUGUCAGUGAGGGCCAAGUUUUCCGCGAGGUAUCCACAACGCCGGCGGCCGGCCGCGGUGUCUCGCACACGGCUUCGACGGCGUUUCUGGCGCGUUUGCAGGGCCAUAGACGGCCGCCAGCCCAGCGGCGAGGGCAACCAGCCGAGGGCUUCGCCCUGUCGCUCGACUGCGGCGAGCACUACUGGCUGUAAAAGGACAGACCACAUCAUGGUUCUGUGUUCAUUAGGUUGUUCUGUCCAUUGCUGACAUAAUCCGCUCCACUUCAACGUAACACCGCACGAAGAUUUCUAUUGUUCCUGAAGGCAUAUUCAAAUCGUUUUCGUUACCGCUUGCAGGCAUCAUGACAGAACACUACUUCCUAUAAACGCUACACAGGCUCCUGAGAUUAAUAAUGCGGAUCUCUACGAUAAUGGGAGAUUUUCCCGACUGUUUCGUUCGCUUCUCAGUGGAUAACAGCCAGCUUCUCUGUUUAACAGACAAAAACAGCAUAUCCACUCAGUUCCACAUUUCCAUAUAAAGGCCAAGGCAUUUAUUCUCAGGAUAAUUGUUUCAGCAUCGCAACCGCAUCAGACUCCGGCAUCGCAAACUGCAUCCGGUGCCGGGCAGCCACAUCCAGCGCAAAAACCUUCGUGUAGACUUCCGUUGAACUGAUGGACUUAUGUCCCAUCAGGCUUUGCAGAACUUUCAGCGGUAUACCGGCAUACAGCAUGUGCAUCGCAUAGGAAUGGCGGAACGUAUGUGGUGUGACCGGAACAGAGAACGUCACACCGUCAGCAGCAGCGGCGGCAACCGCCUCCCCAAUCCAGGUCAUGACCGUUCUGUCCGUCACUUCCCAGAUCCGCGCUUUCUCUGUCCUUCCUGUGCGACGGUUACGCCGCUCCAUGAGCUUAUCGGGUCCACUCGCGAACGCAGAAAGGCCCACCCGAAGGUGAGCCAGUGUGAUUACAUUUGCGGCCUAACUGUGGCCAGUCCAGUUACGCUGGAGUCAGUAGUAUUUAGGUGACACUAUAGAAGCGGCCGCCUAUCCCCUGUGUGCCUUGGCAGUCUCAGAAUGAUACGGCGACCACCGAGAUCUACACUCUUUCCCUACACGACGCUCUUCCGAUCUCACUAACCACUCAAUGAAAGAACUCUUAAGCGUCUCAAUUUGAACAGCGCCUUAUGUAAUACAUUGUUACUCAAGGAGCAAUAUGCGGGACCAGGUGAAGAGUAAGGUUGCAAUGCAAUGAAAGUUCGCAGACGCUUCAGUUUACCCAGGUCUUUGAACCUCUGCAUCACCUCGUAUGUACGACGAGUGAAUGACAUAUGGCGAGUCUUUUCAGGAUCUGGAAAGACCUUGUUAUUUUCCAGCUUAUCAUUUAAAGUGACACACGUUUCUCCAGCAAUAGAUUGAGCCAUAUCACUGAUGAGAUGAUGCAUCAGAUAACGAUGUUCAUUGCUGCUUGAUCGCUGGAAAAACGAUCUUGAUAAUAAUAGCUUAAAACAAGAAUAGAAGUCUUCUAUCGGCUUCUUUCCUCCUGCAUCUGGCAGAAAUCCUUGGGCCAUCCAUAACAACACUAAUUCAUCCAUAUAGAAUUCAUAUUCUUUUGGAAGUAUAGAACAGAAAACAUACAAUUGUUUCAAGUGUGAAGGAAGAUGAUGGUAGCUCAACCUCAAGGCUGGAACUAUGCCGCCCUGGUGUUCUGAUAUAUCCCACAUUUUGCUAUUAAGUACAUUUUCCCAUUCAUCAACAUAAGGUUUAGUGCGCAAGAGGCCCCCCAGUGUUUCAACAGCCAAUGGCAGUCCUCCGCACCUUUGAACUAUUUUCUGGCCGAUCUCCUGCAGGUCUGGCAGAUCACUGAAAUUGGACCUUCCCAGGGCAUGCUUUGCAAACAAUGACAGGCUAUCCUCAAAUGACAGUUCGUUCACAAGGUAACAUGGAAGAGCACUCAUCAUUAAUGCAACAUCUUGAUUACAAGUUGUGAGGAUGAUUCUACUCCCAGGGGAUGUCACUUGGAAAGGACGGCGAAGGACAGUCCAGCCAUAUUAGUUCUCAUUCCAAACAUCAUCUAAAACAAUAAGAAACUUCUUCCCCGCCAAUUUCUCUCUCAGCCUAAGUUGAAGCAGAUUCAAAUCCUUCGCAUCGUAACUCCCCGAAACUGCCUCAAGAAUAGUUCUCGUAACCCUAACAACAUCAAAAUCCUCAGAAACACAGCACCAAACUUUGAAAUCGAAAAACUUAUCUACUUUCUCAUCAUUGUAGACAAGCUGAGCAAGGGUGGUCUUACCCACACCACCCAUCCCUACAAUAGGAAUCACACCAAUCCCGUACUCAUCACACCCCUUAUCACUAAAAAGCAACUUCAAGAUUUCCUCUUUAUCAUUAUCCCUACCAGAAACAUAAGAAAGAUCCACUAAAGAAGUACUGGGCAAUCUUUUCCUCUUCAACACCCCUCCACUGACAUUCUCUCUAAGCUCCAGAUUAUUCUUUUUUUGAGCAAUUUCUUGCAAUCUAGCAGUAAUACGCUUAAUCUUGGAGUCUCUUUUGUAAGUUAAGAGCAAAUUACCAGGAUUAAAAGAGGAAAAGAACCCAGGUAUGGCGCUCUCCGCCUUACUUGAGCUAGCUCGUUGUUCCUCUUUAAGCUCAGUGAAAACCCUGUCGAGCAAAUCUUCAAUAUCAUAGGCCAAUUCACGGAUCUGAUCAAGCCAGAGUUUGACAGCAUGGCUUUCCAUCUGCUUCUCCUCUGCGUCAUCAAGAACAGCAUGGAUCAUAUGCAAAUCUGUCUCCAGUUGCUUGAUAUCAGAGUAGGGUUUUCCUCUGCGUCCUCGCUUGAGUAGCUCCAGAGAGCCUAAUUGCUGGAUUAUAUGGCUGAUCGUAGCUGAAAGGAUAGCGUCUCCGAUAACAAGAGCCAUAAUUAAAUUGCUGCCUCUGGGUCGCUUGCAAAUGGCUAUCGCUUAGAAAUUAAAGCAAGAUAGAAGGAAAGAAAGAAACUAAAGAAUGGGGUUUGUAUGUAAACUGGAAGAGUAAGAGUGCUUUGUAUUCUGGCGAGGCGACAAGGGUUUGUGUGUUAACUGGAAAGUAAAGGUGGUCACUUUAGCUUCCGGCGAGGCGGCGAGGGUUUUUUCUAUGUCUUUCACCUUUCUUCCAGAUAAAGAGUUUUUUUGCUUCUGUAGUUGAAGUUAUGGUCGGCUACAAUUUAUUGCAUAAACUUCAAUUAUAAAAAAUUAUUUUUUUUGUUUUUUCUUGUUUUUUAAUGAUUCUAUAUCUAAACUUUAACCUUCACCUCAAAUAUAAAUACACAAAAAGACUUUUUGGUAGUGAGUUUGAAUUGUGUUUGUCAAAAUUUUGAAAUUUUUUUUUUUUGUUAAAAUUAAGUUUGGUUUGUAUUUUUUUAAUCGUUUUAAUGUGUUAAUAUUAAAAAUGAUUUUUAAAAAAUAAAAAAAAUCAUUGACAUGUAUUUCGAUACGAAAAACUAUUUAAAAAGUAACCGUUACCGCACUACCAAACAAACUCAAAAUAGUUUAAGGACGGUGGUGGCUUCUUCAAUGCCUUUCACCACACACCAAAAGGAGAGAAAGAAACUGUCGAUAUUCGUUCGAGUUCGAACGAUUUCGCACGGAGAAUAUUUAGCGACUUAUAAGAAAAUGUGUUUUGAUUUUCUAAUUUUUCCAAGCAAAAUACUUUUUUUAAUAUUGAACAUAUCGAUAUCUUUAAUUACAGUCAGUCCAUACAAAAACUUGAGUUUAAUUAAAUUAUAUACUUUAUUACAGAUAAGGUGUCUUGAUUCGAACCCUUUUGCGAUGCCGAAAACAAUUAAAAAUAAAUUAAAAUAAAAAAAUGUAUUAAGAAAAUCCCGAACCCCUAUGCAAAUAUAAAAAAGCUUCGUAAUUAUUUUAAAAUAUGAAAAAAAAAUAUUUUUUAAAAAUUAUAUUUAAGAUUAACAUAUUAAAGAUUUAAAAUAAAAAAAAUAUUAAUUUUGAAUAAAAAAAAUUAUUUUUUAAAAAAAUAUAAGUGGUUGAGAUUUCCAAACGCUCUUGCAAGUUGUGCAGUCCACUGCGGCUUCAUGGAGUUCAAAUUGAUUUGUAAUAUGAACAUAGGGUAGGUGGCUACUUUUGGAUGGAAUUUUUAACUUUUAAUUAAUUAUUCCGUCCUUUAGUCUAGAGAUAGAAUCAUUUCACUUUCGAAAACAAAUCGUAUGCACAAAGAAAUAAAUAAUUUCAACAGGCAAGGUGUGAAAAACGUGGGACCAGACGAAGCUGGACCCUCCCUGUCUUUUCUUCUAAUAAAAGGAACCUUCAUAUUCUGAAGUGGAGCAAACCUAAUUCUUUAAAAUAAAAUAUACUUUUUUUCUUUUAAGUUAUAUUUUUAUUAAUCGAUUGUUAAUAAGAUUUGUCACCCGGUUCAUCUUAUAUAAGAUAAGAUAUAUUAUUAAUUAAUUAUUAAUUUAAAUUAUAUUUUUAUGUGUUAGUUUUUUUAAAAGUUCAAGGCAAAUAUUUUUUACAAGAAAAUCAUUUUUUUUACAAGAAAAUCAUUUAUAGUAUUGUAUUUUUUAAAAAAAUAACACUUGAAUUAUCUCUUUAGACUGUGUGUGUGAGAGAGAGAGACUUGGUUCAAAAUUAGAUUACAGGUGGGAUAGGUCAACUUGCAAAUCAAUUUAUUAACCUGAAUUCAUGAGUUUUUUUUUAAUUUUUAUUUAAAAUAGAGUUGUUUUAGACAAUUUUUUUGAAUAAAAUAAUAUUUUAUAGAUAAAAAUUAAAUAAAAAGAAAUUGAUAGAAUCUCACCUAGAUUUUGAUGCAUUCACCUGUACCGCUAGUAGGUUGGCCACCCAAGCUCAAUAUUGCAGCCAAGGUCUUAGAAAUUGAACCCCACACUCAGUCUGCAGCUCCAACUCCAGGAGGAAUUUGGUCGAUCUUACUGCAGAUAUGUUCUUCUCCCAACCAAGACUAUGUCUCUAUAUAGGAUCACAGUCCUCUGUAAACUAAUAAAUAAAAGAACCUGACUCACCUACGACUCGCCAAACGACUCGCCUUUCGCAUUGAUCAUAUCAUAUUUCCUAAUACUGCGCGCUAUUGAUAUUUCCCCGGCCCCUCGUUUCCCUUUUUGUUGAUCUGAUCAUGAUUAAGUUCUGUUGGAUUUAGCUAUAUAUAUAUAUAACACAAGACUUGUGCAUUCAACUGACUGAUUAUGCCAAUAUAUAUAAUAUGGAGCAAUAUCUAGCUAGAGAUUAUGAUUAAUGUAGAAAUUAUAAGCACACCUUGCCUCUACCGCAUACAGUUCAUUGCAGGUGUGCCAAAAUAUGCAGAUUUUAUUGCAGUACGUACUGCUAGCUGGCUACGAUAUAUAAGAGAUAUAAUAUAUGUUCCAUACCUGAAUUAUCCGAGCCAGCUAGCCAAAAGCUCUCCAGAAAGAAGAUACGAAAAGUGCUCCAAGAUCUGGAAUCCCCACUUGUUUUUCCGCAGCCAAAGUGGCCAAACCAUGAGAAGAUCCUUGUUCAUUCGUUGAAUACUCCUGUAUAUGCCAUGGAACACGAAAAAAUGAAUAGGGAAGAUUCGUUAGGUUACUGAUAAUGCAUCGUUCAAUUAGCGAUAUCCCAUACCUCCAUGGAAACUGCAAAAUGAUCGGUGUUUGAAGGUCGAAGAGUGCUCACAAUCAGGCACUGAUGAAUUGCCUCAUCCAACCCAGGACUCCAUUGCAUUGAAGUACUAGCUGCUAAAAAAUAAGCAUAAAGUGAAGAUGCAUGAAAGCUAGGAUUCCCAACAUGCUGCACCAUGGGAUUUCAUGUAUUUUAUAUUUGUUUUUAUUGCAGUUUAUCGAGUAUAAAACUAGUAGAAUUAACUGAAUAUUGCCUUGUAAAUAAAUUGAAAUCAAGCACAUAAAAUUGGCGCCGGUCCUAACCAGUUCCUCCCUUCAAUAUCGCUAAUCGUGCUUGUGCUGGUUAAGAUCCUCACUGUUAAUUUAAGAACUGAUUUCUAGCUAGCUAAACGUGAUUGUGCUGUCCUAGUUACAAACAGUAAAUUACCUCCAUGAUUUCCUCAGCUUAUUCGGAAUAUUGCAGCAGCCAUCAGUACAUCCAGUUAAGUACUCCUCAGGUGACAAAGUGCGGCAACAAAUGGUACAAAUCCGUCGGCUACCAUAAAAAACUAUCCUGUUCUGGCAACAUAGGGGUGGAAAAACUCCAUUCAUUUUCUCAUGUAUAUCCCAUAUCUCACAAUUUCAUGUCUUUUCCCAUUCAUCAUAGUUUAGUUCCCCUCAAAAACAAUUUGCUGCCAACGUACGGUAAGCCCUUACACUAGCUUGCUAUUCUUACCCAAAAGCUUGCAGAUUUGGAUUGCAUCAAAUUUUGCUUUUCUAGGACAUGAUGUACAAACACUGACAGGCAAUCAUAUUCCGAUAAUGCCCUAGAUGGUGGUGUGAAAAGCCACCCAUGUUCGAUGGGACCAGUAGCGGAGCCAGGAUUUUUUAAAUGAGGGGACAAACUAUUAACAAAUAUUUGAUAUUAUAUAUCAUAUAUAAAAAUUAAUUUGAAAUAUAUGUACCAACUCAAGUCAAGCAAAAUUAAUUUAAGAAUACUUUUAAAAUAAAAAAACUUAUAUUAUAAUUGUUUUCUUUGAGAUUUUAUAUUUUAAAACUGCUUCAUAAUGAUUUUAUUUUUAAUCUGAUUAAAAAUAUAUUUCUUAAUAUAUACAACAAAUUUUCAUUUAUCUAUUUCUAAAUCUUCUAAGGACUAGGAAAGUUCUUGGCAACAAUUCUAUACUGACAUAUGGUACAUAAAAAUCUAAAAUCAUAGCUUAAAAAGAUUGUCACAAAUUAAUGUUGUUUUUGAUGACUUGUUGUUUUGUACAAGUGGAUUAAACAUAAAUAUUAAAUAUUUUUUUUAAUUUAUUUAUUAUGUCCCUAAUUUUUUUUAGUUGUCCUGCACUUCAUUUUUAAUUAUUAGUAAAUUCAUUAUCAUCAUUUUUCAUAUGAAAUUCAUAACAAAAUACCUAUCAAUUCAUCAAAACUCAUUUCAAUUCAUAUCCAUUAGCAUAUAAUAUUACCUAUACACAUAUUAAUUCAACAAACCCAUAAAUUAUUAUAAACCCUAACAUUUUCAAUAACUAAUUUUUAGAGAUGUAGACCUAGUAGAAUUUUUGUCCCAAAAUCCUCUAUUAAAAACGGAAAAGAGAAGGAAUUUCCUUCCUGAAUCUGAUUUUGAAAGGUGGGGGCUGGGGAGGGGGGGGGGCAAUUGCCCCCUCUUGCCCCUACGUGGCUUCGCCACUGGAUGGGACGCCAUCGUUUCUUGUUGUGAUAACUAUCUUAACUCCACGGGCGGCUGAAAGGGGUCUUCUCUUGGCAUCAAUUGAAGCAAAUUAAGAUCAUCGCUCAGCUUACAAGUUUCCAAAGGAAUUGCCUGCAGAAGAAUUGUUGUUGUUAACAAAACAUCAAGAACGAAAACUCAUAGCCUUAAUUCAAAAGACUUCGACACUAUAUCAACAUGAGGCAAAAUCUGAGCUGCGGUGAUUUUUCCUACUUGUAGCAAUCACAGAAACCCCAUCAUCGUUGAUGCCUCACAAUUCAGUAGUGCAAUCCAAGAAUCGCUUUUUUUGUGCUUUUAUCUACCAUAAAUGCACAUCAGCCAAACAAAUCGUGGGUUUCCUUGUUGGUGGGAAAUAUAAGAGAGAAAUAUUAGAGAAAAAGAGAAGAUGUAUUUAAAGAGUUUCUAGUUAUUUAUAAAUCUCUUGUUAUUGAAAUAAAACAGUGUGUUUUAUCUUGAGUGUUUCAAAACUCAUGAGUUUGUCUCCUCAUCUCUUUCUCGCAUCUCGUGAUCCUGUACUAAUUCCCUGAUCUUUCUUGGUAUCAACAACAAGGGAUCAAUUUUCUUACCUUACUUGUAGUGCCGGCAGCUUCACAGGUCAUGUUUUGAUUAGAUGAUGAAGCCUUACAUCGUGAAUUGCCCCUCCUAUGCAUCUUUGGUUUUCGUCUUGAUCAAGCAGUCAGAGGCAACCUAGGUGAACCUGGUAAGAUGUCAAGAUCAAUGAAUGAAGGGUACUGAAACGAGGGAGUAUCUUGCUUGUUGAAAACAAUGAUAAUUAAUAUAUAUGUAUUCAAAUAUGGUGUGCUGAUAUGAAAGAACAAACGCGUACGCAGAGGCCAGGUCUCACAAUGACAAUUUUCGAAGAAAGUGAGACAAAGAGAGAGUCUUAAAAGUCUUCUAUGAACAAUGAUAUUGCGUGGUAGGCCUCGUUAGGGACCCUUAAUUAAAUUGUUUGGAUGUUUCCUUAGUGGUUAGUAUAAACUGACCAAAUAGAUCGAUCAAGCUUAGUUAUUUGUUUCACUGCAACUAUUCUGCUUUGACUUGUCAGCAUGCGGAAACUUCCAUGCAUGGAGGUAAGAAACUUCAAUCAGUGAGCUGGCCAGCACAAUAUGUAUCAUCGUUGAGAGCUUGCGGGAUGCGGUUCAAUUGAUUUCUUCAUUUUCGCCAGAUCGCGUCUUGCUUCCAGACUCGGCCGAGUCUGAUUGGUUGAGGUUGAAUUUGCCUUUUAAUUAGUUGAAAAGCAUUCUGUUGAGAUUUUAAUAUUUCUCCCAUUGAAUAGCUUGAGAUUCCUUAACAGUCAAGCUACUAUACGCAAUGCUCAUAUUAAUCCGAUAUCUAUCCCAGCCAAUCUUUCUGUAUCAAUUCUUCCUUCAUUUAUUUAUUAUUCGAGAGGUUAAUGACCAGGUUCUUUCAAAAACCAUAACCAUGGGGUUUCGAUAUAUAUAUACAUUAUAUCAAUUAUAUAUUUUCAUUAAAACUAAUGAUUGUGAGGUCAAAGAUAUAGUUUCAAUAAUUAGCAGUCUUUUGUUAAAUAAUUAUUCAUGUAUAUGCAUGACAUGCUGUUAUCAUUUUUAAUGAAAAUAAUUAGCAGAGUUUUAUGUUGAAUAACAGGAACAAAUUAAAAGAUAUAAUUAAUUAUUUCUUAUAUAUAUAAGAAUGUGAUGGUGCAAUCUAUGAGAAUAUGUUGGUAGAUUUCUCUUAAACUUUAAUCAUCCGUAUUGAAAAUCUCAAUUCACUAGAUUAACUGAUCAUUCGUCCAAACAAAUCACCGUGGAGCACAAGAUUUCUAGUCAGUGAUUGAAUGGAAAAGUCCAUAUAUAAAAUAUCAGCAAGUUAAUGAAAUUUGUUGAUGGGAGAAACCACUUGUGGUGGCUUUGAAACACACAGGGGGAUAAAACACACGGUUUUAUUACAAAACAAGCUUACAAAUUACAAAAACUUACAAUUUUAAUACACACCCUCUCUUUUCUCUCUUGUGUUUCUCUCUACUCUUUCCCACACUUUAUAACACAAACUUAACAGCUUAUUUAUACAUAAACUGAGAGGCAGCAGGUAGUGGUGGGUGGCAGCAGGUGGUGGUGGUUGAUAUUAGGUUGCAGCAGGUGGUAGUUGGUUGAUAUUAGGUGUUUGCAGGUGGUAGUUGGUGGCUGAUUGAGUUUACCACAACAAAUUCCCCCUUUAAACUCAAUCGAGGGAUGUCAUGCCAAGCAUGAACUUCAAUAUGAUGAAUAUUUCUCCCUUCAAUGGCUUUGCCAAGAUAUCUGCAACUUGGUCAUUUGUUUUGCAGGAUAUCAGUUCGACUUCUUUAUUCUUCACAUGUUCUGAUAAAAUGAUGACGCGUAUCAAUGUGUUUACUUCUUUCAUGAUACACUGGAUUCUUUGCCAAUGCAAUGCUGAUCGAUUGUCAAUAUAAAUCUCGUAGGAUUUUCUUGAGGAAAUCCCAAAAACUUCAGCAUAUUCCUUAACCAUAUUGAAUGGCAUACGGCUGAGUUGGCAGCAACAUACUCAGCUUCACAGCUUGAUAAGUACAAUCGAUUGCUUCUUGGAUGACCAUGUGAAAGAUGUGUCUCCCAUGAAAAAGACAAACCCUGUUGUGCUUUUCCUUUCAUCCAGAUCUCUACCCCAAUCACUAUCCGAGUAGCCUACAAGAUUAAAGUCUUUACUUGAGGUAUAAAACAUACCUUCAUUCAUUGUGCCUUUGAUGUAGCGAAGAAUUCUCUUGGCUGCAUUCAAAUGAGACUGGUCUGGUGUCUCCAUGUAUCUGCUGAACGAGUCCGACUCCGUAGAGUAUAUCCGGUCUGGUACAUGUCAAGUACCUUAAGCUUCCUACUAAGCUUUUGAAGUAAGUUGGAUCAACAUUUCCAACCUUACUCUUCCUCAAUUCCACUCCAUUCUCAACUGGAGUUGAUACCGGAUUGCAGCUUUCCAUCUUGAACCUUUCAAGAAUAUCUUUGGCGUAACCGCUUUGGGAUACAAAAAUCCCUUCUUCCUUCUGCGUUACUUCUAAGCCAAGAAAAUGUGACAUUAGACCAAUGUCAGUCAUUUCAAACUCCUGUACCAUGCUUGUUUGAAGUCGUCAAACAUGGUAGGGUUGUUGCCGGUGAAUAUCAAAUCAUCAACAUACAGGCACGCAAAUAAGAUGCUGCCAUCUGCUCCUUUCUUCACAUAUAUGCGUGUUCAUAUGGACAUUUUUCAAAUCCAUUAUCUUGAAAAUACCUGUCAAUUCUGGUAUUCCAAGCACGCGGAGCUUGCUUCAAACCAUAGAGAGCCUUCUUCAACUUGUAUACUUUGCCUUCAUUUUCAGCAUCAAUGUAUCCAAGUGGUUGUUCAACAUAGAUCUCUUCUUCUAGGAAGCCAUUCAGAAAUGCUGACUUCACAUCGAGUUGAUAGAUCUUCCAUCUAUGUUGUGCAGCUAGUGAGAUCAUCAGUCUGAUUGUCUCUAGCCGGGCUACUGGAGCAAAUACUUCUCCAUAGUCAAUGCCUUCUCUCUGUUUGUAGCCUUUAGCCACUAAUCUGGCUUUGUAUCUUUGCACUUCUCCUUUUGCAUUCUUCUUCGUCUUGUAGACCCAUUUGACACCUAUUGCUUUCUUGUUUUCUGGUAGAUAAGUCAGCUUCCAGGUAUCAUUCUUCUCAAUGGCAUGUAUUUCUUCAUCCAUUGCUUUAUCCAUUUCUCUUCUGUGAUAGCUUCAUUGAAGCUUAAUGGGUCACUAUCUGCAAAGAAACAAAAAAAGUUGUAUCUUCCAUGACUGAGUGGCAUCGUACAACUCUUCAAGAUUCCGCAUCCUUCUUGGUCCUUCUGAUGAGGAUGCUGAUGUGGUGUUGAUGAUGAUGCUCCUGUGUGUGUUCCUCCUGUUGAAUACAGGGAACUGUGUACCGGACUUUGUGGUUCAGCUGCUGGCACAAUCGGUUCUUCUACAAGUACUGUUGGUACUUCUUCACCUUCAAGGAUCAAAUCAGUGUUGAUCCAUUUGACUGCUUCUUGAUCAUCAUUCCAUGCCCAAGAUUUAUCUUCUUCAAAGAUAACAUCUCUACUCGUAAUCACCUUCUUCGUGAUGGGAUUAUACAGCCUGUAUCCCAUCCUUCUUUCACCAUAUCCGACAAAGAUGCAUUUCUCGCUUUUAUCAUCGAGCUUUCUCCUUCUUGCAUCUGGGAUCUUUGCAUAUGCCACACAACCAAAGACUCGUAGAUGAGUAACACUUGGUUUGUGACCACUCCAUGCUUCUUCUGGAGUGACCUUGCAAACUUCUGGUUGGGCAGCGAUUCAGUAGAUACACUGCACAUGAUACAGCUUCAGCCCAGUAUUGCUUGGGCAACUUCUUUGCUUUGAGCAAACUUCUGGCCAUGUCAAGAAUCGUUCGAUUCUUCCUCUCAGCUACAUCCUUCAGCUGUGGUGUAUAAGCUGGUGUGUCUGAUGUCUGAUGCCUUGUUGUGUAAAAGGCUUCAAAGUCAUUUGCUGUAUAUUCUCCACCUUGAUCAGAUCUCACGGUUCUGAUCGUGUACCAGUUUGCUUCUCCACAAUUGCUUUAAAAUCUUUAAAACAAUUGAAUACUUCUGACUUCCUCUUCAGAAAGUAUAUCCACGUCUUUCUACUAAAAUCAUCAGUAAAAGUGAGGAAGUACCUAUUUUGUCCAGUCGACAUAGGCGUAAUUGGGCCACACACAUCUGUGUGUACUAACUCCAGUGGCCUCUUUGCUUUCCAGUUGACUUCUUUGGCAAAACUAGAUCUGUGAUGUUUGUUGAGGACACAACUCUCACAGACUUCAUCUGGAUGAUCAAUGUGAGGCAUACCUUUGACCAUCUUCUUGCUUGCUAGCAUCUUCAGACUCGUGAAAUUCAGAUGUCCAAGCCUCAGGUGCCAAAGUCAUUCUUCACUGUUGGUGAUGGCACUCAAACACCUUGUUGCAUCAUACUGGAUGUUCAAAGGAAACAUCCUAUUCUUGGACAUUUUCACGUAGGCCAUUAAUCUCCCAUUGUUGUCUCUAAUUGUCAGAUGACAAUUCUUCGAGUAAAAAUAUACCUCUCUAAGUUGACCUAGCUGAUCAGGUUCUGCUUUAUGGCUGGGACAUAAUAACAUCGGCGAUGUAUGUAUGGAAUCAUUCUUCAACUUGACUGGGAUGUUGCCUUUACCUUUGAAUGGAACCUUUGUGGUAUCUCCAAAAGUAACUAGACCUUGCUUGGUCUCAUCUAGAUCACAAAUAACUCUCGGUAGCCGCACAUGUGAUUGCUGGCUCCAGUAUCUAGAUACCAUAUAUUCUCUGUUUCUCGCAAGUUUGUUGGACAAGAAAUGCAGAUGCUUCUCUGUCAUCCUUCUCUGCAUAGUUGGCUUGCUCACGUAUCUCCAACGGAGCUUUCCUUGCAUUCAGUGCUAUAGUGCCCAAAUUGAUUGCAACUAUAACAUUUGAUAUUCCUCUUGUCACGGUUAUUGUAACCGCCUCCUCUUCCUCUAGGAGUGAAUGCUUGUUGUCCUCGGCCUCCUCUGGUGUUUCUACCACCUCUUCCUCUAAAGCUUGUAUUCCAAGAUCCUCUUCCUUGGAAUCGCUGAAAUCCUCCUCUGGAUUGUUGACUUCCUGCUUGAGUGGUAGCCACUUGUUGAAGUCUCCCCUUGCUCAUAUCUGUCUUUGAGAGACAGCUUUGCUUGUAAGGCAUGCUCAAUGGCCUUAUCUUCAUUUCGCUUUACAAUCUUCUGCUCAUGAGCUUGCAAAGAACUCAUAAGCUCAUCACUGUCAACUUGUCCACUUCUUGGACUCUUCAAUUGCGACAACAACAAAAUCAAAUUUUGGAUCUAGGAUCUCAAAAUUUUCUCAAUAAUUCGAGAAUCUGUGAUGGCUUCUCCAUUUCUCCUCAUCUGAUUGACUAUCACCAUAAUCCUUGUGUGAUAAUCAGAAAUAGAUUCUGAGGACUUCAUUCAAUAAUUCGAAUUCACCUCGCAAAGAUUGAAGACGAAUCUUCUUGAUUCUGUCAGCACCUUUGUAUUUUGUUGGAGAGCCUCCCAUAUGUCAUUGAUGUUUCAGCGGAAGCUAUGAUCUCGAAUGUCUUCAUCAAGACCUUGAUAGAUGAUGGUCUUUGCUUUGUUGUCUUCUUUCUGUUGACUUUCAGGGCUUGCUUUGUGCCUCUUGUAAGCAUCUUCUCUUCUUUGGACUCUGGUUCAUCAUAACCAGUUUGUACAAUAUCAAACACUCUUGUGACCAAGGAAUGCCUUCAAUCUGAUGCACCAACUAUCAUAGUUGUCUUUGGUCAGCUUUGGGAUGAGUGUUUGUGUACUUCUGUAGUCAUUUUGCUCUUUGAAUGACUAUAUCACCUUCUAGGAGCCGAAUUUGGCAAAACGGACACUGUAGAUCGAUCCGGAAUGGUCCAAAUAGUAGGGAAUCGGUCUGACUUUGUUGAAAUCGGGUCAAAAAUGGGGUGAACCAGUCAAAAAACCAAUUUUGUACGGCGGGCGGUUCGCUGGGGUUAAACCGGGAAUAUUCUGGGGAAUAUUUGGUCGGCUCGGCUGUGGCUGGAAAGCGGCUCGGCUCGGCAUGGAGGAUGGCUCGGCUUGCGGCUCAAAUAUGGCGCGCGUGGACGACACUCGUCGUCUACCUCUGGCGCGAGUGGCUGCGCGUGGGCUACAGUCACCGGAUCUUCAGGCAACGCGUGUUGCUCACCGCGGGAUCUGAUCAGGCUUUUCUUUGCACCAGUGAGUUCGUAUGGAGGAGCUCUACACUGUGGAAGGAUCAAAACUUGUUUUUUACAACUUUGAAAAUUCAGGUAUGUCCCAAAACACUUAUGUUUUCUGACGAAUGGGGCUCUGAUAUCAAUUGUUGGUGGGAGAAACCACUUGUGGUGGCUUCUGAUAACACCUCUAGAUGGCGAGUGGAAAUGGCAGCCAUGAUUCGUGGGACGCUGUUGUUUCGCGUGGUGACAAUUAUUUUAACUUCAGAACCAGCAAAGGGUUGGCGUAGAAGAUCCCAUUGGUCAUAGCCCACAUUGCAAGCAUCAUCUAACACGAUUAAACUUCUCUUCCCAGAAAGUCUCUCUCUUAGCUUCACCUGAAGAACAUUCAAAUCUCCACUGAGCUUACAGGCCUGAUCCUUGGUAACUUCAUGGAGGAUUGUCUCAGUUAUGCUCCGAACAUCAAAAUCUUCUGAAUCAAAAACCCAAGCUCUCAAAUCAAAAGCGUUGGCCACUGUGGAAUCGCUGUACACAAGCUGGGCUAAAGUGGUCUUGCCAACUCCUUCCUUCCCACCUAUGGCAACCACACAAACCCUACCAUUGCUAGCUACUUCUCUCUCCAUUAACAAUUCAAGAAUAAACUCUUUGUCCUUCGUUCUACCAUAAACCUUAGAUCUAUUAAGCAAAGAAGUUUUGGGGGUUCUUUUACCUGCUGAUCUAUGGUGCCUCUCUCCACAAGCACGGUUUUCCAAAUCUCUUGAUCUUGAACUAACUUCCAGCUCGUUCCUGGUAUCCAUAACAGGACUUGGAUUUAACAAACAACAACAGAUCAAUUUCCCUACCAAACUUGUGCCUGCAGCUUGAGGUUCUUCGGUCAUGCUUUCGUGUGAAGCUUUGAAUCGUGAAUUGUUUCUCUUGUGCAUCUUUCUUUUUUAGUCUUGAUUUUUCUAAGCAAGCAGAGGAUCGACUAGCUAAAGGCAACUUUGCUGGGACUAGAAAAUGAAGGGAAUUAGCUGAAGCAGCAGGGAUCUGAGGAUAUGGUAAAAGCUCGAGGGUCCAACAAAGAUGGAAAAGUCUGCAGCAAAAAGAUUAACUAUUCAAAUGGGUCCCGCUGUUAGGUGAUAGACGAUGAUGUUCAAUGUUAUUUUUGUCUUUAUAAUUCCAUUGAUUGGGGAAAAAAGUACUCUCUAAAAGGACUUAGAUAAAAAAAAAUAAUUAUAUAUUGCAUUUAAUUUGUAAUGUAAACUUUAAUUUGAUUACGUGUUAAUUGGAUUUUUUUUUUGGAAUACCUUAAAAGCAUACAUUUUAUAUCAACAUAAUUAUAGAAUUUAAACUUCUAAAUAGUUCAGGUCUGUUUGUUUCUGCGUUUUAAAAACACUUUUGAAAAGAUUUAAAUUUUUAUUUAUUUUUUUAUUAGCUUCAAAUUAAUAUGUUUUUAGUGUCUUUAAAUUAUUUUGAUGUGCUGAUGUAAAAAAUAAUUUUUUAAAAAAUAAAAAAAAAACAUCAUUGAUAUACAUUUUAGCACGAAAAGCUAUUUAAAAAGCAACCGCAAUCACACUGUCAAACAAGAAGAAGAAGAAGAUAAUAUAUCUUCUUAAUUAUUGAAAUAAUCCUUUAAAAUUUAAUAUAACAUGAUAAUUCUAACUUUUAGUUUGUAACUCCAAAAAAGAUGAAUAUUGAAAUAUAGUAAAAAUUCAAAAGAUAGUGUUCUUAAAAAAAAUGAAGAAAAGAAUUCUUUUGAUAACAAGAUUAUUUUCUCCUUGUUUUUGAUUUUUUUUUACAAAUAGUUGCAUGUUUUUUAAGUAUUUUUUUCGGUAUAUAUAAAGAAUGAAAAUGUUUUGGAUUGCUUGGACAAAAGAAUUCAUAAAUACUAACCAUCUUACUAGAGGUUGUGUGAAGAAUAAGAUAAACUUUUAUUUACUAUAUAUAAUUGUUUUAUUCGUGCAAUACAGCUAGAUAGAUGUUUAAUCUGGUUGUGGUUGGAGGGAGAAAAAACAUUUAAAUUAAAAUAAAACAAAAAUAUCAUUAAUAAACAAUGAGCUCAACAGGAGCUUAUCCGGGGAAAAAAAAUCAAAAUAAAAGCUUAUGAACUAGAAACAAAGUAAACGAAAAUUUUGCUAUUUUAAAUAUGAAAUUACAAAAUCUAUAGUAAUUAUUAUUUUACGAUCAUUAAUAAGAUAUACAUAUACAAGUUUCAUAUUCAUAUUAUCAAUUACAAGACAAUAAAAGAUUAGUUAUAUCUUACAAGUAGUUUAAAAAUAAGAAAUAUAUAUUAAAUAAUUGAUUAAUCUCUUGAUUCUAACAUUCAAAUUUAUUCUUUCUAGAUAAAAUGACUAAUAGUGUAACAUCCCAAUAAUUUAAUAUCCUUUGACUUCCUUGAGACUUGAACUCGGGAAAAUGGGGUGAAUUUGUGUUUUUUUUUAAGAAACACAUCAGUAUUGUCGUGGGGGUGCCAGCGUCGACGCAACGUCGUCUGGCGACGACGGAGGCUUUUUCUGUUUCUCCUGUGUGAGGUGUUGUGUGUUGAGAAGAGUUUUUGGAUUUAAUCAUAAAACUAUUAUUAAUGUUUAGGAGUUGCCACCUAGUAUUAUGGUCAUUAGGAGGAACAUAUAGUCUGCGAGAGUCUGGGUAAGGGACUGGUUGUGCAAAGGGAAGACGCGUCACCCCUAGUUCACCCUACCGAAGGUUGUGCAAAGGGAAGUCUGGGUAAGCUGCAUUGUUGUUUGAUUGUUUUUUUUUUCUAAGUCAGGUUUCUAUUUGUUGGUCUUUUCUAAGGUUCAAGGCAGAUCUAUGUUCAUGAGAAAGUCUCUACUUUAUUGGGUUAAAAUCUUAACUCUUCUAAAGUCUGAAUUUUAGCAUCACAUUUAUUUACACCUUGUAUCUUUAAUACCUGAGGAUAUACUUUAUCGUGUAAUUUUGCACCUUACAGAUAUUAAAGUCUAUAUUUGGAUCGUUGGAAGAAGAUUUUUGAUAUUUUGGUCAAAUCCUAAUGAAUAAUCAUAAACUGGUUAUGAUAUCCAUUUUGCAUUUUUAAACGUGAACAAGAUGCAAUUUUUAUUUUUAUGAAGAUAUGCUUGGAAAAAUUUUAGGAUUUGGCCAUAUGCAUAAAAAAAAAUAUUUUGUUUGUUUUAGAAAAGAGAAAUUAAUUUAAAAUAUUUUGAGAUUUUUUGAAAAUAUUUUGAAUUUAUUUUGAAAUAUUUCAGAGAAAACAAGGUAUUUUAAUACUGGAUUUAUAUUUUACAGUGUAAAUAUAUAACCCGAUAUUAUGCAAAAUGGAUAGAAAAAUAUUUGAGAAAAUCAUAAUUUUUCUUAAACAAUUUUUGAAAUUUUUUGAAUGUUCUUUUUUUAAAUGGGGGCCGGGCCAGAUCCAACCCAGCCAUAUAGGCUAGACUAGAACUGGCCCAGCCCAAAGUGGGAAGCUAACUAUUUUGGUCACUGCAUGCAGAAUGAAUUCUGCAUGCAGCGACUGCAGCAGUGAGCACAGGGACGGGUGAUGCAAGGCAAUGGAGAACCACAUGAGGUGGUGAGGGUCCGUGGUCGUGCUGGUGGAGAGGACGGUGUCUUCGCUAGUGGUUGCAACGGUGGAGGCUGGCGUUGGUCACAAGGAGAAGAAAGAAGGAUAAGAAAAUCUGCAAGAAAGAGAGAAGUGGUGCAACCACCAUGUGAGAUGGUUUGAUGGCUUCUUGUGAUGGAGAUGAUGGUGGGAAGACCAGUGAUGAGGGUGGUGGUGGCUGAAUGCCACAGCAGAGAGAGAAAGGACUGGUUGUAGGAAACCUGAGCGGGGAAGGCUGGUUUUUGACCAACUUUACGUUCGAUUUUCCCCUCUAUCAGGCCAUCAAAUUCACCUAUAUUUAUAGGAGGUGGAAGAGGGCAAUAUUGUCUAUACUAGGUAAAAAUUUCAGCCCUUGAUUCAAUUGGAAAGGAUCCUAACCGUUGGCUCAAAGUAGACAUGGUGCACUAUCAAAUCUGCAGCUGCAAGCUGUCUGAGGUGGCCUCUUUAGGUCGGCGUCGGCGUUGAUGGGCUGUCAUUCAACCUGAAAAAGCCAUAUGGGAUUGUAGAGAAAGUGCAGAGGAUCUUUUUCGUGCAAGAUUUGUCAAAUUCGAUGGACGUUAGAUGCGUUAAAUGCACCUACAAAGUAGGUAAACGGACCAGCUUUUCCGGGUAAAAAGAGAAGAUAAUGAACAGUAACCAGACGACGCAUAUCUGGUUUUCUCUUUUUUUAUAUACAUAUUCAAAACGGUGCCGUUUUGGAUUGAAUUAGGGAUUUUAACUGACUCCAAAAUUUCAAUUUUCUUGCAAUUUUGCUCUUGAUUUCAAUCAAUUAAUUUGGAAAAAAUUAAAUUUUGUCUCUUAAAAUUUCAAUAUUAUCAAUUAAGCCCAAAUUUGACUCCCAAACUUAAGUUUUCACCAAUUAAGCCCCAAAUAAAAUUAAGUUGACCCAUUUAAAGUAUAAUUAAGUCAUUGCACUUAAUUAAAUCCUUCAAUUGGACCCAAAUUAAUUCUUAAACAUAAUUAAAAUUUAAUUUGACCCAUGAUUAAAUCAAAUCGGCCUAUUAAAAAUUUAAUUAUGUUCUUGGACUUAAUUUUUAUGCAAAUUCAUCCAAUAGUCAUUUAAUUUGACCUUGAAUUUGCAUUUUUCUUCAUUUUUUGGCGUAAUGGGGUACAAUUAGGCCUUGAAUUUCCUCUAAAAUUGUUGCUUAAUUCCUCAGCCUACUUUCUCCACGUUGUCAGCCUUUAUUAUUAUUAUUUUGAUUUUUAUUUUGAAAAAAAAAAUUUAUUUUUAGAGAAUUACCCAGAAUUGGGUUAUAAUAAGUAUCAUGUUUCAAUAUAUAUAUUAUUUAAGAGUACUUUACCGAAAUUUCGACAGAAGUUAUCGACUCUAGUGUGUGUAUCACAAUUUCAACACUGUCCAAACUUUUUAGACCUUAAUCAAUCACAUUUUCAGUUCAGAAUAGAAUUCAUCUAUAAUUCUAAAUUCUCCAUUUCAAAAUUCACAUUUAAUUGUAGCAUACACUAUUUACAAUAUGUGACACGACCAAAAUAUAAAUAUAUUAUGAACUAAUUACAUACAAUAUUCAUUUAAUAAACCUAGGGUAUGUUUGAUGUCAUAUUACAAACCUAAUAAAAAAAUAUUAAUAAUUAAGUUAUAAAUAUCCUUAGUAUUGGUUUCAUUUAUAUGCAAUUUAUUCUCAAAAUCACAUUACAAAAAAUAGCCAACAUAUUAAAAAUUACAUCAUCGUCACCUAAACAAACAAAAAAAUGCUAUGUAAGAUCUACUAUUUUGUCCGAGUCUAUGAUAAACUUGAAAAAUAAAAUUAUUUUCAUAACAUAAGAACAUAUUGUAACAAAUACUUACUAAACAAACACACACACACACACACAUAUCAAUGAUAUAAGUAUAUCUAAAUUUCACUAACAUUUUGAAUAAACAUCAAUCUAUGACAAAUUCCACUUUAAUACAGUUCCAUCCAUCUUUUGAUGAACUUUUAUUUCAUCAUUGUACUCAUUUAACUAUCAUUGUCACAUCAUGGAAACUCUUAUUCACAACACAUUUGAUUCAUAUUAUGAAUCAUUUCCUCAAAACCCCUUUAAUUCAUAUAAUUAUAUAUGCAUAUUCCAUGAUCAUAUCUUGUUCACACCAUUGUUUCAAUUCAUAUUACAUUUAAAUUUAACAUAUAUCUUGUAACCAUAUCUGGUUCGCGCCAUUGUUUCAAUUUGUAAUACUUUUAAAUUGUAUCAAAUUUCAUUUUGUAGCAUACUUAUCCCUUUUUGAUUUUUUAAUAUUCAAUUUAUUUUGAUUAUAUACAUGUGUUUUCACAACACGUGAUUUGCCAUUAAAAACUUCUUGUGCGAUUAAUUGCUUAGUUUAAUAUCUCAAAAUCUAUAAUUAUUACCUCGUCUGAUUUUCUUUUUCAUGUAACCCAUGUUAUUAUCCUUCACACUAUUUUGACUCAUUUUCAAAAGAUCUAAGGCUGACAUUUUACUUUGACUUAUGAUUUCUAAUGGAAAACUUCUUGAUUAAUGAAAUUUCAGGUGAGCUUUUUUAAUACAAACCCUAUCCACAUUUCAUCUAGUCAUUUACAACAUAAAACUUGCAUGAAUUCUGAUAUCAUCAUCACAUAAGCAACUUUAUGUAACAACCUAAACUUUUAAAACAUAUUUCAAACAACUCCCUCGACAUGGAUCAUUGAAGUCCCUGGACUAUUAUUAUUUUGAUAUUGGCAAUUUGGCUUCUUCCAACAUUUCAUUACCAAUUUGAUGAGUCGUUAACACAUAUAUUAUUUGUUAACCACAAGACCACUAGCCAAAUCACGUAUAUCCUAGUCAUUAAUGCAACUCACAUCACCAGCUCCAUUAUGGACAGUUAAUUCAUCUUUUCAAUCAAUUUUAUGUUCUUAUUAAACCAUCUUGCCAAGUCAUAUAUGUUUUGGUCAUCAACCGAACUAAUGCCACUAGUCCAUUACUAGGUAACUAGUUUUAUACAUAUUAAUAUUCAAGUACAAACAUACUACAUCAUAGACCCUUUACCAAUAAAGAAUCAACACUUAAUUACUAAGGCAUAAUCACAUUUCUAGAUGACAACCAUCAUAUUUCAUCUUUAUUGAAUCAUUAUCAACCCAGCAAUCAGUUACUUUGACGCCUUUAGCUCACUUUAAUACAGCUAAUUAAUCAUGAUCGUUCUUGUUAUUCACAUUCAUAUCUUUAUAGGUAAACACAUUUAAAGAAAAUACAAUUUAACAAGAAUUUAAAAAUAUUUUAUAAAUGGGGCAAGAUGCAAGGCACCUACCUAGAGCUUGUGUACGUGUUGUUGUUUCAUGUUGAUAUCCAGUCCCCAUAGCCUCCCUUGUACCAUCAAGGAUUCAAUUAUCAUCAAUAAUACAACCAGCAUCAUGACUUCAUUUAAAUUCUUAUUCAACAAUUACUUUUAAGCCAAUAGCAAGGAAAAUCCUUAAAAUCACAUACCCUUAUACAUUUUCAUGUUCACAUCCAUUCUUGUAAAUUUAUAUGUUAAAACCCUCACUCAACAACAAUUUCAAGAAUAGAUUAGAAAUUAUCUAAUUCUGGUUGCUUUAGCCUAACCAACACUAAACAUUAUCCAGUGUUUUAUUCAUAAUUGAAGUUGUAAAACUCAAUUUUUAGCAUGGUUUGUCUCUAUGGAAAGAUGAGAUAUAGCUAUAACUUUCGCGAAGAAAGAAGCAGCUAAUUUUUCCAUUUACAAAUAUAAAAUCACUCAUUAUAGUAGCAUAAAAAAUUUGUCCAAUAUUGUAUCGGUUUGAACCUAUCCUCCGUCUUUAGUUCAUAUAUGGGGUUAUAUCACUCUAAAUUAAUCAAGACUAGUUUAAUUUGAAAGAUAACAUAUGUCGCACGUCAAAUCCGCGCGGCAUCGGCUAGUGAUUUUUCUUUAUGCGUUUGCUUGAAUUGGUUGGUUCGUUGGAGUCGCCACCUAGUAAUUUAUUGAGGGCUACUAGGAAACCGGAUGUACUGGUCUUGUCAUAGAUUCACGGGUAAGGAACUGGUUGUGGUUAGGGAAGGUAUUAGCACCCCUAACGCACCCUACCUAAGGUAAGCUGCUUCGUGACUUUGACGUGUUAAAGAAGUUUUAAAAUUUUAUCUUUUCAUCGGAUGUUAGAAAUACAACUUACAUAUAAGUUAAUAAUUCUAGACCGUGAGCAAAUCAAAAUAUUAAAUUCUUCUUUAUUCUUUGCAAUUUUAUCAUAAAUAAAUAAAACAUCCAUAAAAAACAUACAAACACACAUACAGUUUCACUAUAUUUUUUCUUUUCUUGUCCUUUCUUUUCUUUUCCUUUUCUUUUUUUGCUUCCAUAUUUACAAAAUACAAAAACUCAAAACUAAACAACUAUUACAUUAAACAAAAAUUACAUUAAACAAUUCUAAAAUUACAAAAAUGACCCAAAACAACCCGGAACAGUGUCAGGCCGACCUCUGGAGCUUCCGGAACAGUGGUGGUGCGUUGUUCCACGCGCCAUCGCCACUGGUGACGCGUGAAUUCACGCGCUGCCGCUGAUGAAGGUGGUAGAAACCGGUGGAUCGGGAACCUCUUCCUCUUCUCUAUCUCCCUACGCUGGAGGUGACCUGCAGCAACAACAAAAACGCAACCACCAGUUGAUUUUAGUUUUUAUUUCCUUUGUUUUUGAAAUCUGCUUAGGUUUUUUUUUCUUCUUUUUGUCAGAUCUGCUUCUCCUUCUCUUCCUCUCGAUUUCGGAUCUGCUUCUUUCUACAGAUCGGUCUGUUAUGUGUUUCUUCUUCUUCUCUGGUGGCAGAUUGGUUGUGGAGGACCCAACGUUGUGAGUGAGGAGGCGGCGUUGCUACUAUAGCCUGCGGUCGUGUCUGUGCAGCUACCGGUGCCCAUUCGGGUCUUGGUGAGGAUGAGGACCUGCGAGCUGCUAGGCUGAGACAAGAGCAGCUGAAGAAUACAGCGAGGGUUGCCGCUGUGUUUGGUCCAAAGAUGAAAGGAGCGGUGGCUGGCUUCUGUCAGAUGGAGCUGGAAAUGGCUAGGACUAUGGAGGCAACGGCCGGCCUCUGUUUUUGAGGGAACCGAGAGAGGGAAAGGUUUGUCGUGGCCUUGUGACCAGGGGAGCUGGUUCGUGGCUAUUGUGGUUUGGUUUCAAAGAGAGGGGGAAGCUAUGAAGAUGGAGGCACGACUGAAGGUUGAAGAUGAGAAGGAAAAAAAAGGGGGGACAACUGCGUUUUGGCUGAGGUUUGAAGGGUCUGUAGGAUAAAAAAUUUCAAGCGGGGGGAGAGGGGCGGCAGGCUUGGUAGAGAUGGAUUUUAGGGUUAGGUUUCAAAAAUUUUAUGCAAGUGUUGGAAACUACUAUUUAUAGGCAAAUAUGUUGCUAGGUCUCCCAACUUGGUUCCUCAACUUCUUCUUCUUUUUGUAAAUUUUGAUUUUUCUUAUUUUUUUUGUAUUUUUUCGAAAACGAACAAUAUUAACAUCAACUUGAUGAGGAAAAUCAAUGAUUUUAAAAAUAACGCAUGAAAAGUUGAACGCGUUCGAAAGAACCUUAAAAAUUUAAAUUCUUUUUUAAACGACGUUGAAAAUGCUAAAAUGAUGAAAAUAUAUUAAAAAAAACAUAUGUUUUGGAUUUUCAUUCUUUUUCUCUAUUUUUGGAUUUUUCUUAAAAUUUAUCAAAACGUAGGUCAAAAAUUGGGUAGCAACAGAUGCCCCCUCUUUACAAUGCUUACAAAGCAGAACUCAUCAAUGUUUUGCAUAGUAAGCUUUGUAAAUAAAAACUUGUCUUCCUAACUUGUUAAAUCCACUAAUCUAAAGACCUUACUCUCUUUUUCUUCUUUUUUCUUAUCUCUUUCUCUUAGUUUUUUUUUUCUCUCUUUUUUUUUCGUUAACCUGAGAUCCCAUUUGACGAUCUCCUUUAACCAGAACCGAAUAAAAAUGUUCUUCAUGAUGGCAGGGUUUGAACUUUCUCUCUCUUUUUUUUUUCGUUAACUUGAGAUCCCAUCUGGCGACCUCCUUUAACCAAAACCAAAGAAUUUAUGUAGCCCGGUCAACCUGAAAUCCCAUCUGGCGACUCCCUUUAACCAAAACCACCUGAGGUCCCAUCUGGCGAUCUCAUUCAACUGGAACUAAAAAAUAUGUGUAGCUCUAUCAACCUGAAAUCCCAUCUGGCGAUUCCCUAUAACCAAAGCUACAUGAGAUCCCAUCUGGCGACCUCAUUCAACUAGAACUAAAAAAAUAUGGGUAGCUCGGUCAACCUGAAAUCCCAUUUAGCGAUUCCCUUUAACCAAAACCGUCGAGGUCCCAUCUGGCGACCUCAUUCAACUGGAACUAAAAAAUGUGUGUAGCUCGGUCAACCUGAAAUCCCAUCUGGCGAUUCCCUUUAACCAAAGCUACAUGAGAUCCCAUCUGGCGACCUCAUUCAACUAGAACUAAAAAAAUAUGGGUAGCUCGGUCAACCUGAAAUCACAUCUAGCGAUUCCCUUUAACCAAAGCCACUUGAGGUCCUAUCUGGCGACCUCAUUCAAUUGGAACUAAAAAAUAAGUGUACCUCGGUCAACUUGAAAUCCCAUCUGGCGAUUCCCUUUAACCAAAGCUACAUGAGAUCUCAUCUGGUGACCUCAUUCAACUAGAACUAAAAAAAUAUAGGUAACUCUGUCAACCUGAAAUCCCAUCUGGCGAUUCCCUUUAACCAAAGCCACCUGAGGUCCCAUCUGGCGACCUCAUUCAAUUGGAACUAAAAAAUGUGUGUAGCUCGGUCAACCUGAAAUCCCAUAUGGUGAUUCUCUUUAACCAAAGCUACAUGAGAUCCCAUCUGGCGACCUUAUUCAUCUGGAACUAAAAAAAUAUGGGUAGCUUGGUCAACCUGAAAUCCUAUCUGGCGAUUCCCUUUAACCAAAGUCACCUGAGAUCCCAUCUGGCAACCUCAUUCAACUGGAACUAAAAAAUAUAGGUAGCUCGGUCAACCUGAAAUCCCAUCUGGCGAUUCCCUUUAACCAAAGCUAUAUGAGAUCCCAUCUGGCAACCUCAUUAAACCAAAACCAAAAAAAUAUGUGUAACUCGGUCAACCUGAAAUCCCAUCUGGUGAUUCCCUUUAACCAAAGCUACAUGAGAUCCCAUCUAGCGACCUCAUUCAAUUGGAACUAAAAAAUAUAUGUAGCUCGAUCAACCUGAAAUCCCAUCUGGCGAUUCCCUUUAACCAAAGCUACAUGAGAUCCCAUCUGGCGACCUCAUUUAACCAAAACAAAAGAAUGUGUAAAAAACAGUCUCAUUGUAAUGGGUGACCUACCCAGGUGGAAAGAAUAUGAAAAACGGUCUCAUCAUGAUGGGUGACCUACCCAAAUAGAAAAAAUAUGAACUACGGUCUCAUUGUAAUGGGUGACCUACCCGGGUGGAAAAAAUGUGAAUUGCGGUCUCAUUGUAAUGGGUGACCUACCCAAAUGGAAAAAAUAUGAAAAACAGUCUCAUUAUGAUAGGUGACCUACCCAAAGAAAAAAAAAAGAGUGGUCUUAUUGUAAUGGGUGACCUACCCAAGUGGAAGAAUGACCUCAUUGUAAUGGGUGACCUACCCAGGUAAAAAAAACAUGGAGCAUUGGUCGCGUUGUAAUGGGUGACCUACCCAUAAAAUAUUGGCGAGGGCUCAAAGGCGCACUCGAAAUGAGGUAGGGUUAGAAAACGCACUACCCGAGAAGUGAGGGCUCAAAGGCGUACUCAAAAUAAGGUAGGGUUAGAAAACGCACUACCCGAGAAGUGAGGGCUCAAAGGCGCUCUUAAAAGGAGUGAGGGUUAGAAAACGCACUACCCGAAAUGAUGGCUCAAAGGCGCCCACAAAAAGAGGUGUGGGCUCAAAAACGCACUCAAAAUGAGAUAGGGUUAGAAAACCCACUACCCAAGAGAUGAUGAUGAAACACUGAUCUGACAAUGUUAAAAGCAAUGCAUUAUGGUCACUAUGCAUGUAUACUUACCUGAGAAAAAAUAGGUCCCCCUUUCUUCAUGGUGUCUUUCUUUUUUCAAAAGUUGGAGUGCUGGUAGUAAACUUUGAUGGCUUUUUCGCUCUUGCUUACUCGAAUCAUCUCUUGUGAUCUUGACCUCUAAGAAGGAUUUGAUAUCAUCAUACUUCUUUGUCCUCCGCCCUUUAUCUCAAGGGUUGCUAAUUUAGCCCGACAGUUUCUUAGAAAGGGAAUCAUGAAGCCAGCCCUACCAGAUAUUUUUUUAUUGCUCCCCAGCUUGAUCAUGCCCUCAAGUGUUCAAUUCGGGUUUGGGGAUGAGGCUAUGUGAAGGAAGGUUUGACAAGGUGUUUUUUUCCAUGCAGAAUGUUUGGAAAUCCUAAGCUAUUCCAGACACGAAAAUCAUUUUGACGUCAAUUUAAAGUGAACUCAUUCUGAAGAAAUUCAAGUGAUUCCUAUGGAGAGGUUAUCAGAGGUGAUGAAAACCUUUUGUUUUGCUUUUGGUGAAAAAUACGAAGUGACAUUUGGUUGGUCAAAUAUGGUUCAAAUUUCAAUUUGAGAGUUUCAAAGAUCCAGUCUUGAAAGUAUUUAUUUAAUUUACAUGAAUAAUGAUUUGGUUCACAUGAGAAAGCAUUGCCUACUGAUCCAGAUUGCUUGUCUUUGAUCAAAAAGGGACUUGAUUAGGCACGUAAUGUAGGCUUGGGCUUUUGGUUAUGAAGAAAAUGAUAUUUGUAGGCUCAAAAGGUGUUUAAGGGAUUUCAAAACUAAGGAUCACUUGUGCUUGUUUCUUGACCUUUUAUCAUUUGAAUGUCUUUCGAAAAUUGUCUAUCGUGCCCCCUAGUGUUGGGCUUGGGCUAUUUCUCUUUGCUUUUGUUUUCUUCAUAUGGUUUUGAGCAUCAUCAUAUUGUUUUUUUUUUAUGCUCAAAACUUUUGGAUCCUUUGGAUUUUUCUUCAUGCCCCCUAGCUUUGUUUGGGCACCUUUGAUGAUUGAGAAUUUUCUUUUAUGCCCCCUAGUAUUGCUUGGGCAUUUUCGAUCAUUGAGGUUUUCUCUAUGUCAUCGCACUUGCCCCCAGUGUGGGGUGUGAUCCUAGCCAAGGUUAUUUAUCUCAAGAAAAGCAUUAGGCUCAAAAGGGGACUACAAAUGAUAUAUUUUAGCCUCGUGAAAAGAUUAUCAAAGAUGACCUUUCUUCAUUUCAAACUCAUGCAUUUAGGAUCGGUAAGCCUUGCUUUCAUGCGAGUAUACAAUGUGAUUUCUCAUUAUUCAUUCAAAUAAAACUCAGCUUUUGGAGUCACUUCAUGGGUUCUUUUUGUUUUUGUUUUUGUUUUUUUUUUAGGUUUUCUAGGUGUAUGGUUACCUUUCUAAGGAAUCACCUGAAUUUCCAGAACUCGUUUGUUUUGGACAAACAUCAACAUGAUUUUGUUUUUUACUAAACUUUGAAUUCCCAAAAAUCCUUGUGAACAUGUGCGAUCAUGCAUAGUUUUGAAGAAAGGAAACACACCCAAAGAUUCUUGGUGUGAUGGUUUCAUGCUUAAAGGUUAUGCUCAAUGUGUUAUUUGCAUGAAACAACAACAAAAAUGAAGGUAUGUUAUAAACACAUGAUCUUAUUAACAAGAAAGGCUCAUUUGACAAGGAAAGUGUUGUGGAAUUUUGAGCCAAGUUAUCAACAAAAAACUGGAACAGGUUGAAACAAAAUCAAGAAGUUCUGCAGGCAUGAUCAAACAGAGGCAUUUUUUUUUUUGAAGAAUAAGAAUAGGCUCCAUUAUACACCGGUAGUGCAAUUCCCCUUCGGUCAGCCUUCCCACCAAAUCUUUUGCAGAAAUACAUGAUUGUGUUGAGGCUCUUGACUGACGUUUGCCCCCAAUUUCUUCGGGUAGAGUCGUUGUUGGGUUUUGGACAAAGAUGAUAGGUCGGUUGGAAGGAACUUUCCUAGAGUUAUUUUUCAGUAUUUGCUCGAGUAAGCUAGAGGUGAGUCACACAUGUCUUCAGAAACUCCAACUCUUCUUUAAAAUGUACGUUACGACGAGCACACUCUUUAUCUUUCGUGUUUUUUCAUUCAAAGUCAGGUGUUGUAGACUCGUAGGGGACCUACUUUUCAUUCCGGUGCAUGCAUGACAAAUGUAUGAAUAUGUAAUCUAUAUGAUGAACUCGCCCUUCAAGGGGUGACAAUAUGGUCGUAACUCUUGUAUGAUGGAACAAGAAUCGUGAUUUUUGCCCAAACUCUACAAUGAAAAUUUUCUGAGUGACGGCCAUUGUGUCACCCACAAGUCUUGAGUUCAAGAUGCUUCAAGAAGGGUUUGCCCUUAUGCAAAUAACGAUAGCACAUACAACCUAAGGACAGGUUCUAUUCAUUAUGUGAACAUGGGUAGGUUUUCUAUCUGGUCUCAAAAGGGUCUCAUAUCUGCCCAGUGACGUUCUUCGUAAAGACAGUAUGGGGGCGUUGCAAGGAAUAGUUAAGGCACGUAUACCCACCAUUACCAAGCAGGCACUCAGAUAUGAGUUGGGUGUUUCACGCAUCUGAACCCUGACCAAUAGUCUUAGGGCAGAUCGCUAGUUCCCCACCUAACCUAGAAGCUUGUGUGUGCUUUCAAAAAUAAAUACAGGUGAUGCAUGAGACAAUUCUAUAAAAUGCAUGGAAAAAAUAUUAACAAAAAGAUAAAAAUGCAAAAACUUAAACACAUCAAAUACACAAAGCUUAGUCCAAUAAUGUCAGAAACAGUACCUUCCUCAGUGGAGUCACCAUUCUGUCGCAAGUCAAAUCCGCGCGGCAUCGGCUAGUGAUUUUUCUUUAUGUGUUUGCUUGAAUUGGUUGGUUCGUUGGAGUCGCCACCUAGUAAUUUAUUGAGGGCUACUAGGAAACCGGAUGUACUGGUCUUGUCAUAGAUUCACGGGUAAGGGACUGGUUGUGGUUAGGGAAGGUAUUAGCACCCCUAACGCACCCAACCUAAGGUAAGCUGCUUCGUGACUUUGACGUGUUAAAGAAGUUUUAAAAUUUUAUCUUUUCAUCGGAUGUUAGAAAUACAACUUACGUAUAAGUUAAUAAUUCUAGACCGUGCGCAAAUCAAAAUAUUAAAUUCUUCUUUAUUCUUUGCAAUUUUAUCAUAAAUAAAAAAAACAUCCAUAAAAAACAUACAAACACACAUACACUUUCACUAUAUUUUUUCUUUUCUUUUCUUUUCCUUUCUUUUCUUUUCCUUUUCCUUUUCUGAUUCCAUAUUUACAAAAUACAAAAACUCAGAACUAAACAAAUAUUACAUUAAACAAAAAUUACAUUAAACAAUUCUAAAAUUACAAAAAUGACCCAAAACAACCCGGAACAGUGUCAAGCCGACCUCUGGAGCUGCCGGAAUAGUAGUGGCGCGUUGUUCCACGUGCCAUCGCCACUGGCGGCGCGUGGAUUCACGUGCCACCGCCGAUGAUGGUGGCAGAAACCGGUGGAUCGAGAACCUCUUCCUCUUCUCUAUCUCCCUGCGCUGGAGGUGACCUGCAGCAACAACAAAAACGCAACCACCAGUUGAUUUUUGUUUUUAUUUCCUUUGUUUUUGAAAUCUGCUUCGGUUUUUUUUUCUUCUUUUUGUCAGAUCUGCUUCUCCUUCUCUUCCUCUCAGUUUUGGAUCUGCUUCUUUCUACAGAUUGGUCUGUUAUGUGUUUCUUCUUCUUCUCCGGUGGCAGAUCUGCCAUGGAGGACCCAAAGUUGUGAGUGAGGAGGCAGCGUUGCUGCUAUAGCCUGCGGUCGUGUCUGUACAAUUGUUGGUGCCGAUUCGGGUCUUGGUGAGGACGAGGACCUGCAGGCUGCUAGGCUGAGACAGGAGCAACUGAAGAAUACAACAAGGGCUGCCGCUAUGUUCGGUCCAGAGAUGAAAGGAGCGGCGGCCGGCUUCUAUCAGACAGAGCUGGAAAUGGUUGGGACUAUGGAGGCAACGACCAGCCUCUGUUUCUGGGGGAAGCGAGAGAGGGAAAGGUUUGUCGUGUCCUUGUGACCAGGGGAGCUGGUUCAUGGCUGUUGUGGUUUGGUUUCAAAGAGAGGGGGAAGCUGUGAAGAUGGAGGCACGACUGAAGGUUGAAGAUGAGAAGGGAAAAAAGGGGGGGACGGUUGUGUUUUGGUUGAGGUUUGAGGGGUCUGUAGGAUAAAAAUUUCAAGCGGGGGGAGAGGGGCGGCAGGCUUGGUAGAGAUGGAUUUUAGGGUUAGGUUUCCUCAUUUUUUUGUAUUUUUUUUCUUUCAAAAUUGCCCCCCUAUGCAAGUGUUGGAAACUACUAUUUAUAGGCAAAUAUGUUGCUAGGUCUCCCAACUUGGUCCCUCAACUUCUUCUUUUUUGUAAAUUUUGAUUUUUCUUAUUUUUUUUGUAUUUUUUUGAAAACGAGCAAUAUUAACGUCAACUCAAUGAGGAAAAUCAAUGAUUUUAAAAAUGACGCGUGAAAAGUCGAACGCGUUCGAAAGACCCUUAAAAUUUUAAAUUCUUUUUUAGACGACGUUGAAAAUGCUAAAAUGAUGAAAAUAAAUUAAAAAACAUAUUUUUUGGAUUUUUGUUGUUUUUCUCUAUUUUUGGAUUUUUCUGAAAAUUUAUCAAAAUAUAGGUCAAAAAUUGGGUAGCAACAACAUCCAUACAUAUAACUUUGGUAGAGAAACAAACUCCAAACUUUAUCAUUUUAAGGCUCAAAUUAAACAAUCACUGUAGCAUCCAAAAUCUAUGUAGAUUUAUAUCGGUUUAGACCAUUGCUCAGUAUUUAGCUUAUAUAUGGAGUUAACAACUCCAAAUUAAUCAAGAUUAGUUUCAUUUGAAAUCUAACAUCCAUACUUACAACGUUCAUAGAAAAACUAAAUCCAAGUUAUAUCUUUUUAAGGCUCAAAAUAAACAAUCACAGUAGCCUUUUUUUUUCAACUAAAAUUUUGGACAAGGAUUUUCACCCCUUGAAAAUCCUUUACAACUUCCAACUAAUUCUCAUUUAUAAACAAUAUUAUCCAAGGUCAUUUAGCAUCGUUACAUAACAUAUUUAAACCAAAUCUAAAUCAAGACAUUCAAAUAAUUUCCCUUCAUCUACAACAUAGCAAGAUUUGGUCAAAAUAGAGAAACUCAUUCCCUUGGAAUUUCUCCUCUUUCUUUUCCAUACUACAUACAUUAAUAUUCUUGUUUAGAAUUAUUAACACAACAAAAAAUAAACCAUUCAUUUCUCACUUUCUCCUUUUACAAUUAAACAUAUGCAACAAACCUUUAACAACAUACACUUAUGUUAAUCUUACAUUAGUUUUUUUUUUUCCAACACAUAUCAUUUCAAGCUUAGCUAUAGUUCAUCACAACAAUCAUUCAAAAUCCCUCCCCCAAUAUUUUCUAUUUUGGCUGAAUAUCCUCCAUGGUAUAGCCAAUAUUGUCACUUCAGCUUUUAACAUGCAUUCCAUCCCAAAACAACUAAAAAAUAUCAAAUCAAUCAACAAAACCCAAACCCUGCAAGUAUUUCUUUUUUUCCUAAUGCCACCAUGAAUCAAAACCAUGGAUUUUCCUUCAACUUUUCCAAUAAUUUCACAUUACCAACUCUUAGAUACAUACAAAAACACAUUUUUAUCAAAGUGUAAGAACAACAAUUCAUCAUUCAAUCAAACUCAAGCUUAAACACAUACCCAUUUUAUACCUAUAACCAAAACCAACUAAGAAUUGCAUAUAAAUAAAGGUGAAGGCUUGCUUACCAUUUUAAACACUAUUUCCAUGGAGUUUGAUGCAUGAGACCCCAAACUCGUCUUCCUUCUCUUCAAGAUUUCUCACUUUCCCCCUCUACAUAUUCAUCUUCUUUUCUUGGUUUCUCACUUCAAAACUCAUUUAUAUAAUGUUUAUUUUACAAGAGAAUGAUUAGUCCUCAUAAGAAUCUCUUAAUCAAGCAAGAAACCACUCAAAACUUAAUAAGGUAUGGAGGGCUUUUCGUUCUCCCUAGCUUCUAGAACUCUUCAUCCGCUUUUGCUUGUUUAUAAAGAGAAAUUUUGCUUACUUUACCAUUUUACCUCUCUUAAUAUUUUUCCUGUGUUUUUGGGUACACAUCUAGCUACCAACCUAAUUGUAAGGCCCCAAACUCCUAUUAUUCUGAAAUUUUAACCCAAUAUAAGAACAAAUACCAGGAGAGUCCUCAUAAAAUUUUAGUCUGAUCUAACGGUCGGAUUGAGAGUUAUGGUUGAUAACAUAAAAUUGGACAGUAUUGGAAUUUGCAGCCCGAAUUCUGAUUUCAGACCCAACUCCAAACCCAUCAUUCUCUCUCAACCGUGUGAAUUAAAGAGCCUACCAUAUAUUGUUGGAAGGAUACAGAUGUGUUCUUUCCAAAAAAAAACUGGAACAGAAAUGAAAAUUAAUCAUGAUACACACACACCCCCCCCCCAAAGAGUAGCCAAAGGUCCAGUGUGAUAGAUUUGCCCACUUUUAAUCUGAGCCUCUGAACUUAGCCCUUUUAACUUUUUAUGUAAUCCUCUUCCAUUUAGACCUUAUAUUAAGCUCAAUUAAUGGUGUAAAUGGGAUAAUUUCAUCUUUAUUUUUUCAUCAUUUAUUUCAUCUGCAAACUUAUUAUCGUUUCACGGUAAUGUUACCGAUUUUUAAUCGGGAUUUGCACCAACACCUUUUUGUACAGUUCUCUUCUUAACUUUUUUUUUUAUUCCCCUUGUAAUGGCUUGGAAUUAUUUUCUCAUUCUCAAAACAUAUAAAUUUUUUUUUUCAAAAGCGCUUUUGAAAUGCAAAAACAAACAGGCUAGAGUUUCACCUUGUCGCGCUUCUGAAGCACGACAAGGUGAAACUCUAAAUUAUCUGGCUAAACUGGUCAAUUGAUUUAAUCUAGUUGCAUGAACUAGUCAACUGUUUCACACAAAAAUCAUAAUUUAAUAAUUUUUUCUUCCAAAUAUGUUUUAUGAGUCAAAAUACACACAUUUAUCCAACUUGUAGACUAAAAAAUAGACUCCAAUUAAAAUCACAAGAAGUUAUUGUUCACAUAAUAGUUGUCUUCUGUUUUUCAAUGUCAAUAAUGUAGUCGGGCUUGUGAUAACUGGUGAUUCUGAAUAGUCAAGUGUGGGUUUGUCAACCUUUAAAUUAUCUGCCCUAAAAAUAUUAAUUGGAUGGCCUAGCAGAUGCAUUUAUGGACCAAGGGGACAGGUAUAAGCCCAAGAGGAGGUCUGGUCGCACCAGACUAAAAUAACGGCUCAAAAAGGCUAUGACUUUAGAUAUGACCAUUAGAUCACGCUCAAAUCUUUACAGGAGUUUCCAAAGGCCGUUUUCCUUGUAGUAGCCAUUGUGUCGCUAUACUGACCGUCGGAUCUUUAGAUAUCAAGAAUUUCAUCGAAGCCCCUUGAUUUUAGCAGUUUUGAGAUUUUCCAUGUUAUUUUUGUAACCGAUGGACCGAUUUUAUUGAUUAUUACGAACUGGUCAACCAGUUGAGUCAAAUAAUUGGAGUUUCAUUAUGUCUCGCUUAGAUGCGCGACAAGAUGAAAGCGAGCUAAUUGUUUUUAUUUUAUGUGCUGAUUUCUUAAUUUAUCCCUUAAAAGGACUCACUCAUGUACCCCAUUGCUUAAAAAUAUUUAAAAAAGAAUGGUAGAUCUCUUUAAAAAGAAUGCCAAAAAAAUCUACUCAUUCAACGAAUGCUUCUAGCUCCUUGAAGUUAUCUUUCCAUUCAUGAGUUCUCCAUCCUUUCCAGCAUCGGGUGUAGCUGAGUUUCCAAGCUGCGCGUACAAGCAGCAACUGUCGAUGAAUUACAAUCCUAGUUAAGCGUAGAAGGAAAUAUGGAGGAAACACCUCAUGAUUAAAACCUUCAUGGAUAUCAAUAACCUGUGAGGCUUUAGCUUCACAACCUGUCCUAAGACGGCGUGGGAUAUCAAUACAAGAGAUAAAGCAUGGGAUAUCUAACCUAGAGAAAGAAAAACAUCAAACAACUAGAUAACCAAAUGAUCCCAACUCUUGCUCAAAUACCAAUUCUUCACCACCCUGAAAUAACCGCUCCUCCCUAGGAGUUCCCCAACAACACAGCAGAUGGCAGAGCAUUUCACCUGAAAGCUUGAAAAUGGUUCGGCUGUGGCCAGAGCUCUAUGGAACUAAACGAUCGCACCGAUUCAAACAGUUUUUCUUCUGAAAUAAAUUCUAGACAUUAUGAUUGGCGCUUUUACCAACAAAGUGAUUUUUAAUGAAUGUUUAACAAAAGAACACAUUCACAGAGAUGAACAGCCUGAAUUCUUCGGGCAGGAAGCAACGCGUUCGGCUGUGAUAAUUAAUAUCCAAACAACCUGACAUAAUACCAUGAAAAAUCCUUCUCCCUUCAAAAUUAGAAUUAAACACAACUUCCAGCAAGUCAGAAACAGAACACCUUUGUUUCGAAAAUUCAAAAUAUUAUUGAUUACAGAUGGGAUACAUUUUACAUGUGCAUAUGAAAAAGACAUUAUAACAGCAACCCCAUAACUCUUUACAUGUCAUGCCAUCAUCUAUCUCCACACAAGGGAUGUGGGAUAUCAACGGCCAGUACACUCCUUUCUCCUUGGAACAGCGCUGUGUCAUUAACGGACAGUCCCUGAUGCUGAAUCUUCCAAGAGCAUGAGGUAGGCAUCCCCUAGGCAAGGACUUUAAUUUAGGACAAUCAACAAUUUCUAGCUCUUCUAGAUACGCAAGACUUUGGAGCUGCAUGGAUAGAGAUUCCAGAUUUGGAAGUCUUCCAAUCCAAACAGAAGUUAGAGUUGUCGGAAGCAGACACUUCUCAUCUGGAAAGGAAACUGUGCCUGAAAAACAUCCACCAGCGAUACUAAAAUCUCUAAGGCAGGCUAGACUUUGCAAGUUCCACUCUGACAGGCACCCAUCGAGACGAUUACAAUCCCAGAUCUCAAGCGAUGUCAAGUUCGGAGGCAUAUCACCAUUUGGAAAGGAUUUCAGAGCUGGGCAGCUACUAAUUGCCAGUUCUUGCAGAGAUGUGAGUUUUCGCAUCGCAUUAGGUAGAGACUUGAGAUUUUUGCAAUUGUAUAUAGUCAACGUUCUGAGGUUAGCGAGGGAAAAGCCAUCUCCUGGAAAGAGCUUGAGAGCGGAACAAUUACUUAUAUUUAAUUCAGAGAUAUGCUUGAAGCUGCCAAGGCACUCAGGAAAGCUUGACAGGACUUCGCAGUCUGAAAUGGGUAGGUGCAACAUCAUUUCUGAAAGAGGCAUCAAUUGGGAACAGUCCAUGAUUUUUAGUGUCUUGAGUCGAGGUGGUAAUUUCCAAUCAGGAAAGGAUUUGAGAGAUGGACAGCCAAUGAUCUCCAGGUGCUCAAACUGACACAGGGUGCCAGGGCCAUUUUUGUUGUGCAUCAAACCCUCAGGCAGAGACUUUAAUUCUGUACAGUAUCGAAUCUUCAACCCUUUUAACGUUGCAGGUAACAUCCCUCCUGGAAAGCAUUUGAGCGAAGGACACUUUUCUAUCUCCAAGUCUUCAAGAGGACAAUUGCUCAUGCCAUCAGGGAGGGAUCUAAGAGCUUUGCAAUCCCGAAGUACUAGAUGUCUCAGUGACGAUAAAAGUCCAGCUUCAGGAAUGGACACAAGAUUUGGACAUGAUUCAAUGCACAGAUCCUCAAGAGACAAAAGCACGCGCACCCUAUGGAUUGGCAGAAGAUCCAGCUUACCACAGCCUGACAAUUUUGAACUUUUAUGAGUGCUGGGCAUACCAAUCUCUGUCAAUGACACAAAUUGAGGAUGUUCAAAAUUUUCUAAUCCAGUUCCUUUUUGCCACAACGAGGUUAGUUCGGGGAAAAUCAGAAAUCAUCAGAACUUUAAGUGCUCCCAGUGACCGCAGAAACUGGCCCUUCAAACAAGUAAGCCUUGACAUACUCCAAGUUUCAAUGUGAUUAGGGAGGAGUUAUGAAAUAUGCAUUUAGGUGUCACCUCAUCACAUUCUUCUAAUUUCAGUUCACUAAGCACUGGAAGCUUUUCAUCUGAAUCUACCAAAAUUGGGCAUUUUGAAAUCGUAAUCUUUACACAG
rnacentral:lncRNA from 1 species